rnacentral:lncRNA from 1 species
UUUUUUUUUGGGGUGGGGACCGAAGCUAAUGAUACUUGUGUGAAUGCAGGAGGAUGUGGUACUUUGCAAGAUUUACAGAAAGGCGACGUCAUUGAAGAUUCUGGAGCACAGAGCUGCAAUGGAAGAUAUCAUAUCAAAAACAGUUAACCCAACUUUAUCGUCUACUGAUCAGUCUCAGGAGGGAAAGAUCCCAGAAGAAAACUUGGGAGAAUCAUUCUCACAAAAGCAAAGCACGAUCAAUCUUCCAAUGACAAAGCAAGAAGAUGAUGACCUCUCUGUUCCUAAUUCAUCUGUUAAAUUUGGUUGCCUGAAUUAUAAUUGUGACUUGAAGGAGCUACAAGUACUAGAUGUGCCCAAGUUUAGCAUGGAUGCGACUACAGACGCAUUUUGGACUCAAAUGAGAAGCCCGUGGCUUGACAAUUGGAGCCCGAGUGUUUAUGCCAACCUUCUUAACUGCUCGCCCCAUUGCUGAAAAUCCCAAGUUAGUGUGAAUUACUACAACUGGAGGAUAAUUUAUGGUAAUCUUAGCCUCGCCUCACACAGCCCAUGAAGCAAUGUGUUAUGCGUGCACGAAUUAGGAUUUACGCCCCUUUGCUUCCAUUUAUCCAACAUACUAAGGGCUUAACAUUUUGGAGAAUGGUGCAGAACGCAGCAAUCAGCACCCUGUUUAAAAGCGGGGUCAAAUCUUGACACUCUGACAUUGGCUAAAGUUGUGACAAAAUGAGGAAGCUAUAAGCAGAAUGAUGUACGUGGGAAGAUUAAAAAAAAAGUAAUAAUUGAAAGGCGUAUGUAUGUAUGAUGUAAACAAACAAUAAUGAUUUGUAGAUAAUAUCUUUUCAAUUCCUUGAAAAUUCAUCAGUUUUUUGUUUUAUCCUAACCUCUUCAAUGUCUCUUUUACGAUUUUUUUUUUUCUUCAAAAAAUAGCUUUUUUCAGGAGAGUACUUUACUUUUCUAUAUUUUGAACUUCAAUUCCUUUUGCUUCGAGAAUUUGUUGAUUUUAAAUUCUGAUAAACUAGCCAAAGCCUUUAGUUAUUGUGCUUGUCCAAAUUAACCUAAGGCCUUCACCGAAGUCUUAGGUGCCAACCACCGCGAAUAUGGUAUUAUCGAUCACUUAUAAGCAUCUAGAUGAAAAGCUUGCUUGGUGAAAUAUCUAGUAAUCAUAAUUUUGACAAUUUGGAAGAAUGAUCUUUUGCUGUACAGUCUGGGGCUCUCAUUUCAAUUGUCCAGUUAUCUAAGUUGAAAUUGGUAAAGACACGCACUAACUUAAUAACAAAAGUUUUUCUUGCAUUUUGCUCCCUUUCGGGGGUGUUAAAUGCCAGAGCUUGAAAUUUGUUUUCACACCAAUAUUUGGAUCAAGUCUUAAAUGCAAUUUAGACUUGGAAAUGGUAGUUUUGGAAAUGGGCUGCAUACUUAGCUAAACGCGUUGCGUGGGCGCGCGCGCGCGCGCGCACACACACACACAUAUAUAUAUAUAUAUAUACUCUCUCCGUCCCACUUUGAUAGUCUUGUUUUCCUUUUUCGUCUGUCCCAAAUUGUAGUCCACUUUCCCAUUAAGAAAUGUAAUAAUCUUUCAAAAUUGUCUAAAAUACCCUUAUUAAAUAUCUUGUUAUUAAUACAUUGUUAUUAAAUACUAACCCACUGCAUUGGAUACAUUGAGUUUUUUCAAUACUAACCCAUUAGCUGUAACUGAUAUUAAUUGGCACUCUUCGUGAUUAGCAUAAGGGUAUUUUAGAAAAUUAUUAAUCUAAAUUUAUGUUUCCAACUAAAUUAAUUACACUUUCUUAAUCUGUGUGAAAAAAAAAUCAAGACUAACAAAACGGGGCGGAGGGAGUAUAUAUUUAUACAAAGACCCGAGAAAAGAUCCAUCAGUGCUGCGUGCGAAGUGUUGCCUCUAGGAGAGGUCUUUUAAACAAAAUUUUUGUACCAAACUCGAUCGUGAUCUUAUUUGCCUCAUCAAUGUAUCUUAUCUGGUACAUAUAUUUGAGCGUGUGCUUUAGGCAAUUAAAGCUGAUUUCUGUAAACUAUCAUAUGAUAGGGUGAAGUUGCCAGAAAGAAACUAGAGUUUUAACUAAUAAUUAUAAGGGAUUUUAUAAUUUAUCACCUGACUGCUGGAUGAUAAAGGAAUGUGGUCUCGGUGGAAAAAGUGUAAAAACUCCAAACCAUUCUUGUGGCGUGGAAGCCAACUUUCAGCAGACGCACCCAUGAUUGUGGCUGUUCUUGGCUGUUUGCUACUCAGGCGUGAUUUGUUCAAUUUAUCCACAUGCAUGAAUCUGAAUUGUUGAAGUUUUUCCCCAUGCAAGCUGAGAUGAGAUUGUGAACCAAAACCAAAAGUGGCUUUUAGCCUAACUCCCAACUUCUUCUUUCUCCUUCGUCGCCCUUCAUUUUCUGUCGGCCAUAAAAAGAAAAAGUUUUUGGAUACUAAUAUCUAGUGUUAGUCCAUUUAUUCCUUCGUUGUCGUUUUCCUUUUGUUAAAUAGAACCGCUCUGAUCUUCCAAGAAUUUCAUUAAUCUUGGCCUCGUUUUGCUUGAGACUUAGGGCUGCUUAUAAGUCAGUCUAAUUACUUUCUAGAAAUGUAGAAGACGUCUGGGGCCAACUUUUGUUCAUCAUCCAUCUCCUCUAUUUUUUUUUUUUUUUUCGUUUUGGCAAUUGUAUUACAUGUUUUUGUAGAUUUAUGCUAAGCUUAAUUGAUUUUAUACAGAACUUGUAGGUGCUUUGAAGAUAGAAAAACACUUGUGGGUAUUUUUGUGUCACAGGACUUGGGCUCAUUUUUGGCAGAUACAUUUCAAGGUUAUGAUUUCUGUGUUCACACGACUGACUGGUUCAAAACCCGGUUAACACAUGCAAAGUCCAACAAAACCAAUCAUCUUUUGACUAAUUAUAGCUACAUUUUUUUUUUCUUUUUCAUGUCUAUCUAAUUAAAUUUUGAUCUGCAUCAGUUAAAGCAGUAGAACUACAACUAAACCAGCCAGCAGUUAAGUGAGUUGUACUGAUUUGGACACACACGCACACACGCACCUGUGUGUGUGUGUGUCUAUAUAUAUAUAUAUAUAUAUAUAUAUAUAAAUGCGAAUAUUUAGCCACAUCAAUGAUGAAACAUGCUGUCCCAACGUGUGUCCUCCUAAGUCAAGUCUUCUUCCUCGUCCAUGAAAAGUAGGAAGUUCUUUGCUCUAGCAAACAUGGGCAUUGGGAAAGCGAUCGAUCACACGGCGUACAACUCAAAACGAUGAAUAGACCAAGUCUUCGGGGUUGACAGUUGACUCCCAAGUGAUCAUAAAAUGCUUUUCAAUGAUUUUUAAUUAUGAAACACAAAGGUGCUCCUUCCCUUCUAUACUGUUGUAAUUACAUCUCAGUACGUAGGCUAAUUAUCAGAAGAAGAAAAAAAAAAGUUACAUACAACGUAGAUUCUAAGGGUCAAGAGUCAAGACGAAACAAAAUUUUAAGACUGCUCAUUUUUUGUUAUGCACUCAUUAAUUUGAAGCACAAUUUGGGGAAUGGCCAUAUUUUAAAGUGUGGAAGGGUAACUUUCAAGCGUAAACUUAAGGAAUUUUACGUGUACAACACCGAAAAUAAAUUAAAAAAGGGUUAAUGUCUUUAGGGUACAUUUGAUAAAACUGAAAUCUAAAUUCUGAAUUCAUUAAAUUAUUGAAUUGUUAAGUAUUAAAUCUAAUACAUUUGGGUGCAUAUCACAUUGUGAUAAGUGAAUAGCAUAUCAAUUAAUUUUGGGAGCAAGUUUUGCCUAGAAAAUUUAGUGCCAUUUAAUUAAUUCAGAUGUUCAAUUUUUUAUUAUCAAAAGGUCUAAAUAUAUUAAGUUUAAGGUUCCAUUUGAUAAAACUGAAUCUGAAUUCUAAAGCCUGAAUUAUGAUAUCUGAAUAUUGAAACAAUUAAUUUGCUGAAUUUUAAACACUGAAAAAAAAUAUAUAAGUGUCUGAAUUUUAAUAUUAAACCUAUUUAUACUGUUUGACAAACAUUAAUAACUGAAUACUUAAUAAGUUAGAUUUGACAAUUUUGCCCUUAUAUUUUGUCAUCUAAAAAAGAAAUAGAACCUGUGAUUUAAUUAAUUUAAAAUAGUUAGGAAUAAAAAUGACAAUACUUAUUUUUAAAUCAAAUUAAUAUAAAAGAUGAAAUAUAUUAUAUGAGAAGUAUAGAAAAGAUGUGAAAGUCAUUAAAAAGGGAGAAAAUCGAAAUAGAAAACCCUUAGAUAGAGAAUAUUAUGUUGUUUAAUUAGAUAAGAAUUUUGAACAUAAUUAACAAGUAAUAUUAGAUUUGGUAGAUAAGAUAAAGUAGUUGAAAUAAUUGAGUUUAUUGCCAAAAUAACUCUCCUUCUACAACAUAUACCCAAAGUAACCUAAUUUUAAAAUUUAUUACCUUUAUAAUUUUUUUGGCCACAUAGGUUGCACAUGUAUCAGGACAGAGAUAGAGGCACACUCUAUUUCUUUUUUCCAUCUAAUAGUUUUCCUAAUUCUCUGUCUCCGUGUUUUUUCCUUUCAUUGCCUUUUCCUUGUCAAACGUAAUUUUGAGAAGUCAAUAUUUAUAUUAACAGUAUAUAAAAAUUCAUUAUCAUCCUUGAUAAUAUCAAGGUAAACAAAGAUUAUUUUCUUAUCUUUUCUAUUGUGCAAUUUUUGGAACAUUGCUAUGGCGUUCAAAAAUUUUUUGAAUAUUAAUUGUCUAACAAAUGAUAUCUCACACCGUGUAUUUGAUAAAAAGUCUAGGAGAAAAUAAUCUAACAGUUUUAGAUUUGCAAUCGAAAACUUGAAAAUUUUAGUUUUAGGUUUUUUUUCAAAGAGUAAGAAGGAUAAUAUAAACAAAUAUGAUAACCUUGAAGUUUUUGUAACUUUUUCUUGUUAUUACUUACAAUUUUUGUUGCAAUUUUUGAAUUUUUCAAAUUUAAUUUUUGAAAAAAAUAUAUGCAAUAGGUUUGAUUCAUUUCAAGAAAAAUGUAGAGACCAAUCAUAGUAAGGUCAAUAAUGGUAGAAUUUGUUUUAAAUAAUUAUAAGAAAACUAUCAAAGUUAUGCAACCUUAUUGUGUCUCUAUGAUUAAAAAAAAUUAAAAAUUUUAACUCAUGUUGGAAACUAUAAACUAGAUCAAAACUUUCCUUUCUUGUUAUCCUACGUGGCAAUCAGGAUAAUAAGGUGGCAAUAAUAACAUCAUUAUGAAAAUAAAAUUUGAAAGUAAAUCAUAUUGAGAAUAUUUUUUAAAAAGAGUGUUAUUUUAGCAAAAAACUCGAAAUAAUUCUAUUAAUUUUUAUCAAAAUUAAGUAUUCAGUUAGGAUUUUUGUGCUGAAAAAAAUACACACAAGUUUAGCACUGCUUAACAAGUUCAAUAGAUGGAUUUUCAUUUAUCAAACAUUCAAAACAUCUGAAUAUCUGAAAAAGUUCAAUUUCAGCACUUUUUAUAUUGUCAAACAGACUCUAAGUGUUGAAUUAGGUUAUCAAACAGAACCUUAGUUAAGGUUUCAUGUGAAAAAUGUGCUAGAGUAUAAUAAAUAUACUUUGCUGAUUGUUGUAACUGAUUUUUUGUGCGUUAUUGAAGUAAAAUAUAUACAUGAAAAAAAGAAGCUUAAACGGGUGCUUUAGAAAUAAAAACUAAUUGUUUGUUUGGGCAUAAACCAGAAGGGCAUCCCUUUUCGAAAGAAAUAUAUCAAACUUUUUCUGUUUGUAACCUGUUUUGAGUUAAAACAAUAUGAAGAAACACUAGAAAAUUGAAAUUGAAAGAAAAUUUUGGACAUAAAAAACCAUUUUAUAGACUCUUCUUAAUAAAAAAAAUAAAAUUAUUCUUGCACAUUUCUUUUAGUUUGAUCAAAUUCGCAUCAUCCAUUCAUGCCAAGUAAAUCUACCUUAUCAACUCAUGAAAUCACGCUCUAAAAUUCCAAAGGGUCCUCAUGAUCAGUUGUCAGUCGAGACUCGAGACGGGCUAAAACAACUAAUAUAUCACUCAUUCCAACACUAAGGGGGCGCUUGGUUCAAGUUUAGGAAUUGAAAUUGUAAUUGGAAUCAUAGACUCUGGUUUUGGAAUUAAAACUUUUCAUUCCAAUAUCUUGCUUGGUUCACAUAUUGGAAUUAGCAUUAUUCCAAUUCUUGAUGCUUGGUUUGAUGAGUGUUUCGGAAUUAAAUGCAAUUAAAUUCCAAAUUUACCCCUGAUAUAACAAUUCUUCUAAAACAAAAGAAUUACACAUACGACAAAUUAACAUUUUCAUAAUUGUGACUACAAUAGUUAUUAACUUUUUGAUAAAACAUAAGAAAAUCAUAAAUAAUAAAAAAAUUAAUACCAGAAAAUAAAUAUAGUGGCUGCAUUAACAAGGAGUAAAUUCCCAAAAAAAGGAGUUUUUAAACAAUCACCCAAAAGGUGACGAUUUUUUAGUCUCUUCCCAAAGGGUGAAAAAUGCAUCCAAGAAAUGUGUUCUUCCAAAUAAAAAAGUAACUUUCAAAUACGUUAUUUUAUGUUUUGGAAAUUUGUUUAAAUAGAAAAAAUUGGUUAAAUAGCCCAUAAGAUACCAGCUCUUUAUGGGAAACUGGCAGGUUUUGUACCAGCUUUAUGGGAAAAAUUGAUUAAAUAGUGCCCAAAGGAAAACUGGUAUGUUUUGUAUUUAACAUAAAUUAAAAAUGUGAAAGUUAAAAAAAAAAAUUGCCCAUAAGAUACCAGCUCUUUAAGGGAAACUGACAGGUUUUGUAGUAUGUUUUGUACAAACUCUUUAUGGAAAACAUACCAACUCUUUAUGGAAAAAAAUUGAUUAAAUAGCACCCAAAGGAAAACUAGUAUGUUUUGUAUUUAAUAUAAAUUAAAUAUGUGAAAGUUUAAAAAAAAAAUUAUUCAUAAGAUACCAGCUCUUUAUGGGAAAUUAGCAGGUUUUGUAUUUAAUACGCUAUUUAACCAAUUUUUUAUAUUUAAACAAAUUUACGAAAAUUAAAAUAACGUAUUUGAAAGUUGCAUUUUUAUUUGGAAGAACGCAUUUCUUGAAUGUGUUUUUCAUCAUUUGGGAAGAGACUCAAAAAUUGCCAGCCUUUAGGAAGUUAGUUUAAAAACUCUUUCUUUUUGGAAAUUUACUCCAUUAACAAGUCGUUUGUGGUUCCUACAUUAGAUAAUGAUAUGAAAUAGAUCUCUCCUUACAUAUAUGAACAAAAGAAGGAGACUCAAAUCACAAAAACUAACCAUACCAAAUACAAAUCAAUUGUCUAAUCCAGUCGAGAGUACCACUCAAUGUCCACAAUCUCCAAAAGACUAAUCAUAUAACCAUCUAACAAUCACCAUAACAAAAAGAAAUUGCCAUCAAAUCAUCACUUUCCAACUAACAAUAAUUUUACUUCAGCGAGUAGAUGGAGGAUAAAGGAGGUUAAUUAUAUAUUGUCGUUUCAUUUCUGCAGGAAGAUUGUAGAACACAUGAAGCUUGGAAAUCUGCUCCGAAAGUAUGUCGGCUGCAUUCAUUACAUCUCCACUCGAUAAAGCAAGUUUCAUUAAUUCAGCAACAACUUGAUCUCUUCUAUCGGAGACCAAUUGCUCACGUUUAUCCUCAUUUGACAUGGCUGCUGCCAUAGUCGUAAAAUUAGCUUGAAUUCCCUCCACGAAAUCUCCAAAUUUGCUGGUGAGAAGUUGCAAUGAUGCAUCAAGAUCACCCCUUGUUGUUGAUGCAGAUUUCAUUUUUUUUGACACAUUUGCAAUGGGAGGGGAUUGUUUCUUUUGUUUCUUGGAAUUUCUUGUGCUUGUUGAGCUUGGUUGAGUUGAUUGCUCCAUGGAAUUUACUUCAUCUUCUUCUACCUUAUCAUUAUCCGAGUUUGACAUAUCAUCAAGUCCUUCAUCUCUUUCCUCCAAAUUUUGGAAAUCUUCCAUAUCUUGGACAGCUUGUGCAAAAUCUUCAGCAACAUUUCCAGUGGCUCUGUCUCUUCCAUAUACAAUUUCAAGAUCUCCUAAAUAUGAAAAUUUGACAUCCCAAAGGCCCUUCGCAUCCUUAUGAGUCUAGAGAUAGAAUAGAAAGAUAAAUGAUAAUCUUAAUAAAAGGUUGAAAAAGAACAUAUCAGAAUGUAAAAAGUAAUCAAUUUCUUACCUUGCACCAAUCAUCAUACCACUGUUUUUCACAAGAAAUCUUUUUCUCAGCAUCAUUCCAACUACAACCACUUUCUUUGCACAUUUCAACAAUUGCAUGGAACCUAUUUUUCAGCCACUUAACUUUUGAUUCAAUAUGUGGGCUGACUUGUUUGGUAAAAGUAGGUUGCUUACGCAAGAUAAUUUUAAGCAAUUCGCUCAUAUAAUUAUUUUUAAAUCCUCCAUCUGAUUUCCACAUUGGAUCACAAGCCAACUCUUGCAAUGAUUCUAUGAGCACUUUUACCUCUUCACCAGUCCAAAAACAUUUAUUUUUCCCUCUUCCACGUACAAUUUCAUCAUUCUCCAUCCUAUCAUUUAGAAGUCAACCCAUAUAUAUCAAUUAAUUUUGAUACACAAUAGCAUAUAACUGAAAUUUAUAAUAUAACAAAACACAUAAAAGAACAUACAAUUAAAAGUCAAUCCAAAUUUAAAAGAACAUACAUCAAGUGUCAAUCUAAUUCACAAAUCCACUACAAGAGUACAUCAAAUGUCAAUCCAAAUUUAAUGAGUCUAAGAGCUAAACAUCCAUUCAUAGCUAAAUACUAAGCCCAGCCCUCCAAUUAUCAAACAUUUCAUGUGCUAAAUUAUUUCUAAAAUUUGCCCAUUGAUCACUUGGCAAAAUAGUGGAUAUGCACUUUACUUCUUCAUCACUGUCUUCAUCUUCACUUUCAUUUUCUUCACUUUGUAGUAAUUCUUGUGGAUCAAAAGUCAUGAACUUCCUUAUCAAGUUGUGCAGCAGACAACAUGCCAUAAUUAUUCGCACUUGUGUUUGAAUUGGAAAAAAUGAAGGGGAUGCUAGAAUCUUCCACCUUCCUUUUAGCAAUCCAAAACAUCUUUCUAUGAUAUUUCUAGCUUUAGAAUGUUUCAUGUUGAAAUAUUCCUCUGGUCUUUGUGGUCGAUAACCAUUGAAUUCAUUAAGGUGAUAUCUUUGCCCUCGAUAAGGGGCAAGAAAUCCAUCAGCAUUACAAUAUCCAGCAUCCACCAAGUAAUAACAACCUUCAAAAUUCAAUCAUGUACAAAUUAAUACUAGACUACCUUAUUUUCGAAAAAAAAUUGAUUGAAUGGUAUUGAAUACUGCAAUAUAUGUUUACCUUGUGGGACUCUAAGACCAUUUGGUCUAGAGAUGGCAUUUCGAAGCACACGACCAUCAUGUGCCGAACCUUCCCAACCAGGCAAGACAUAGAUAAAUUGCAUAUUAGGAGAACAAACCCCUAAUACAUUCGUUGCAAUACUUCCUUUUCUCGUUCGGUAUCUUGAUUUUUGUUCGGUGGGUGGUGUCACAUCUAUUAAUGUCCCAUCUAAGGCACCUAAACAAUUCUAUUUUAAUAAAAAUAAAAAAUAUAAAUGAGUUAAAAUGUCUAUAUUGGAUAGUUUAGAUGAAAACAUACAUUUUAUUAAAUAAUUGUAUUUUAAUGUUUGAAUUACCUUAAAACAUUUCCAUCUCUCAUCUGUGCAAUCUUCGGUAAUAGGCUCAGGCUUCUUAAGUAAUAUAGUAUGCAAUUUCAAAACUGCUAGGAGGCAAAGAUUAAAUUGACGACUCACCGUUUCUCUACUUCUCCAAAAUAGACCACAAAUUGUUCUACUUUUCUUGUGGUGAGCCAAAACAUAUACAAACAUGGCAACAAUUUCUUCUAUUGACAUGUUUCUUGUAGCUUUCAAACCUCCAGUGUCUCUAAUCAUUUCACAUAAUAUCCCAAAUGCUCGUCUAUCCAUACGAAGUUCGCUAAUACAAUAAGCAUCACUCUCCCUAGUCAAAUUGAAUAAGUGUUGCAUGCGCUCAGUGACUUUUUCUUCUUUUGAUUUUAUUUGGAGUCUUCUACUUUUGAGAUGAAUGAAUAUUAACUGGUACCACAUCAUAAACAGUGCAAUAACAACCAUUAUCAUUCCUGAUAAAAUCUGGCUUUGCCCUCGAUAUUUUUUGCGUCUUCUGUUUUCAAUAGGCAAACGUGGCAUCUUUGUCUACAUAACAAUAUGACAACCAAACGUAAGUAUUCACCAAACUAGAUUACGGCAUCAAAAUCUUCAAAUGCAUUAAACAUCAAUUGAUCUUAUUAAAAGGGCCUAGACAUGCAUCAUACAUCCGUAAACACAAUGAUGUAUAGAUAUAAAUAAGCAUAAACAAACGAAAUUGAUGGUUGAAACUUGAAAUCCUAUUGUACGAAUAACUAUGAAACUGAAAGCUAUUCAAGCAGACAAUUUUACAAACAGGUACAGGGCAUGUAGAAACCCACCCAAACUAUACCAGUAUUCACGGAUCAAAUAACCAAAAGAUCAAGAAUUGAUUGACCUCUAUUGAAUGCGUAAUCCAAGAAAACACAUUAAAAACAUAAAAAUGACAAAUCUAGUGACAUUAACAUUUAUCUCACCAAAAAAAAGAACAAAAUAAUGUAUUUGUUGAAGUAAGUGAAUUAAAAUACAUGUAUUACAACAAAAUACAUGGAUUAAAACACAUGUAUUAUUCUCACCAAUAAUAGUGUAUUUGUUGCGGAAAUAAUUUCUUAUUGGAUUUUGUGACAAAAGAAUAGGAAUUCAUGGAAGGAAGACUUUUUUGCAAAACUGACAAAUUGUGUAGCGUGAGUGGAAUAAAAGUGAGAAGGUGAUGGGUCCAGAGCAUAGCAUUUUGGUCCAGUUAGUGUUAUUGUAUCAGAUUCCCUUCUUUUCUUCUUUAUUUUCAGCUACCCAGUGAGUAGCCUGAAAAAACAGAGAAGAAGAAAGAGAAAAGCUUGCAUACGAAAAGAAAAUUGCAGAGGCAAGGGAGUUUGUAAUCCACUGACCUGGGGAUCAAGGAAUUCACCCUAGUAGAAGACUCUUUAACUCUAGAAUUCGUUGUCCAAGGAGAGUCAAAAGCCACUGAUCUUUAUGGUUGUCCAACCGGUGAAGUAGAAGAAGUAGAAAAUCUGAUGAAGAAGAAGAACAGAAGGUGCGGCGUGUAAUGAAGAAAAAAAGAGGGUAGGUUCGUCAUAAAUGUUUUUGCUCGGGAAUGAGUUGAGGGUUUUGUCCAAAACCUCCCAAUUUACUCAGGAAUGGUGAAAGUCCGAUUUUUUAGAAAUGAUUCCAGAAAUUGCAUUCCAAUAGACUUAACCCAAGCAACAAAUAAGGGGUUCAUUCCAUUAUUUGAUUCCCAAACCUUUUAACCAAGCAGCCCCUAAUAUUUCUGUUUAUGGAAGACAAUUCCUCCACUAAUUAUUAAUUAAUUAACUUAAGAGAUUUGGAAUUUUUUUCCCCCUCCACUGGUGGUGAAUUAACCAUAGAGAUUUAGGAUUUGUUUGGAUUGUAAGUUAUUUGAAAUAUUUUUAUUAUAGCACUUUUUUGUGAUGUGAUGUAUAUGAGAUAAAAAGAUAAUUAAAAAAAUAAAAAAAAUAUUAAAAAUUAUUAUAAUAAUAAUAUAAAUAAAUAUAUUUAGAAAAAUAAUCAGCACAGCUGUGCAGACAAAUCCGUUAGAUUGACGAAGUAAAAGAUGAAAAUAGUUCAUUGUCUAGUCAAGACAAGACCCGUCUUUAUAGUACUCUUGUCACAUCUUUUGCGAAUUAUACAACCGUGUGGACCUUCCCCUCACACUUACUUCCAAAUUCUCCACCACCCAUUUCUCCAAUCCCGUGACGGUUACUGCUACUAUAAAUUAGCACCGCCAGCCUUUACUUCAUUAAUUGAUUAGGGAAAAGGAGUUAAAUUGCUUUGGAUAUAUAGUCUUGGAGUAAGGUCGGCAGAGUUUUUGAGUCCAGACUUGAGGAAAACAUUAUAGGCAAACAACGUAACAUUAUUAUUAUUGGUCAUCUUCCUGCUGAUUAAGGGAAUGGACGAUAAUUCAGUGGGGGAGCUAACUCUUCCCGGGUUCCGUUUCCAUCCUACCGAAGAAGAACUUGUCAGCUGCUACCUUAAAAGAAUUGCAUCCGGCAAGAAAUUACCUUCUGAUAUCAUCGGCUUCCUCAACAUUUACCAUCAUGAUCCUUGGGAGCUACCCGGUAAUUUUCAUGCAUCUAUUACAAUUUUCUCGCGUUAUACGCGAAAACUCUUUUUGGUAUGGUUUAGGUCCAAAACUAUUGCCAUGGAAUUACACUUGGCAUAUGUUGUGUGUAAUUUUGCUUUUCUUGAAUUAGCACAAAAGAAAAAACUUUCUUGAAAAUAUGUGCAGGAAUGGCUAAGAUGGGGGAGAGAGAAUGGUAUUUUUUUGUGCAUCGGGAUAGAAGGCAUGGUCAUGGGGGAAGGCCCAAUAGAACAACAAAAGAUGGGUUCUGGAAGGCAACCGGGUCGGACCGUCAAAUAAGAAGCACAUCUGAGCCCAAGAAAGUUUUGGGUCUCAAGAAGAUUCUAGUUUUCUAUAAAGGCCGUGCACCACGAGGGUCCAGAACUGAUUGGGUCAUGAACGAGUUCAGACUUCCUGACCAUCCUUUACCUAAGGUACUAAGUCAUAAACUCCUAAUCUUUGGGUUUUUUUUUUUAAAAUUUGUAAGUAAGAGAUUUUGAACAUAGACGUUUCACUUAUAUUCCCUUUCCUGAUAUCAUCCAAUUGAUUCCUUCCCGUAUCGGGAUUAAUUAAAGAGUCAACUGUACUUUUCUUUUCUUUUGUGCAUUUCUUCUUCCUAUGGACCUUUUUAUUUUCAUGAUUGGUUCAGUUUCGAUGCACUUUAAGUAUUGGUGAGACUUGGAGUCCAAAUUUCCUAUUUCGAAGGAGUAGGACCUAAUGAGCUUUUAUUUCUAUUUCUAUUGGUGAGACUUGGAGUCCAAAUUUUUACUUCUAUUUGUAAAUGCAGGAGGAUGUGGUACUUUGCAAGAUUUACAGAAAGGCAACGUCAUUGAAGAUCCUGGAACAUAAAGCUGCAAUGGAAGACGUUAUAUCAAAAACACUUGAACCAAGUUUAUCAUCUACUCAGCCUCAAGAGGGAAUCCCACAAGAAAACUUGGCAAAAUCAUUAGCACAAAACCAAAGCAUGACCAAUCUUCCCUUGACAAAACAAGAAGAUGAUGACCUCCUUGUUCUUAAUUCACCUGUUAAAUUUGGUUGUCUAAAAUACAGUAAUGACUCGAAGGAGUUACAAGCACUGGAUGUGCCCAAGCUUAGCAUGGAUGAGACUGCAGAUGCGUUUUGGACUCCAAUGAGAAGCCCGUGGCUUGAAAAUUGCAGCCUGGAUGCUUUUGCCAGCCUCCUUAACUGCUAACUCCAGUGCUCAAAAUCCAAGUUAAUGUCCGCGGAAGACUGUGAUUUUCAAGUGAAGGGUAAUUAAUUGAAAUAUUAGACUCGAGGUCUGAUUAAGCACGGCAUUUUCUUUUAGUUGGGAGUAUUUUUAAUCACAUGUGCUUGUGCAAAAUUGAUAGGUAUCGAGUUUGUACAAUAAUAAAUACUUAUUCGAAAAAGAAAAAAAUAUAUAAUUUUUGUGUAUAGCGGUGAGUAGGAUCGAAUCCACAGAUAUUUGAGAAAUAUAUUUCUUCUCGGAUUCAAAGUAUGGGGGAAUUUUGGAGAUAACCAACUAAAUUUAGCAAAAUCAAAAUAACACAAAUAAAAUAAAAUUAAGUCGAUAAUUGCAAAACUCUAACCAGAGGAAUAACUGUUAGACUAAGUUCGUAAACUGAUCAUAGAUGCAAUGAUGAAUUCAAUUAUUUAUUGAUAAAUUAAUUCUACCAUAAAAGCCAACUCUUCCUUAUUUUAUCGAUAGUCAAGGCGCAACCGUUGACUAUUUCUCCAAAUAGGAAACAACUCUAGGAACCUCCCAUAGAAGUUUAAUUUCCCAAUUGUAUGAAGAAUUAGAAGAGUUUAAUUCUAACCAAUCAACACGCUACGAGGGUCUCUUUAAGUUAGAUUAUUCGUUCCACUAACACAAACUUAAUUAUGCCAGUUGCUACCGAGAUUAAAUCAAUCUAAUAAUUAUGUAUUAAAUCACUUCAAUUAACAAUCAACUAUCAGAUCAAUUCAAAUACCGGGUCCUUUGAUAUUCAAAUAACAUAAUAAUCAUAAAUAUCAAAACCAAAGAACGAAUAAAUACCAAUAAAUGAAAAAAAUAGUGUAAUUAAUGCAAGCUCAUAGUUUGUAGAUUCAAGUUUUCAAGCUAUCCUCAGGUAGAAAAAGAAUGUAGCGGCGCAUCCUCAAAGGAAAUCCACAAGAAUCCAUUGAUAAUAAUUGUGUAUAGUUUUUCCUCCCAAAAAGUGAACGACAGACUCCUAUUAUGUUCCAAAGAAUCACCCUUGCGAAAUUGUUGCCGGCCGAACUCUUAAUCACGCAAGUCCGUCCUUUUUUUUCUCCCUUUGUUUUCUAUUUAACAACAACUACUAAUAAUAAGACAUGUUUCCCAAAAUAGAAAAAGGAAACUACUUAAGAUGAUAUUCCAAGUUUCCUAAUUCAAUACUAAAACUAAUAAUGAGAAUUAAAGUUUUCAAAGUUUUCCUCCAAAAGCUGCCCUGAGUUCGAUUUGGACUUGGAAACUGACCCGAAUAUGUCACCAUCAAAUUAACUGGAAAAUUGCCCCUUUUAAUCAUGUUUUGCUCAUUUUCCUACAAUUAGCAUCAUUAACUAAAUAUAAAUAGAAUCCAUCAAUUAAAAUAAUAUUUGGCUAAAAUCAAGAAAAAUAUAAUCAUAAAUUAAAUAGCAAUUUUGCAUCCUAUCAACCUCUUUGUUCUUCUUUAUUCAUCUGUUAAAUUUGGUUGUCUAAAAUACUGUAAUGACUCGAAGGAGUUACAAACACUAGAUUUUGCCCAAGUUUAGCAUGGAUGAGACUGCAGAUGCGUUUUGGACUCCAAUGAGAAGUCUGUGGCUUGAAAAUUGCAUCCCGGAUGCUUUUGCCAGCCUCCUUAACUGCUAACUCCAGUGCUGAAAAUCCAAGUUACUGUCUAGAGCUGUAAACGAACCGAAUCGAACCGAGUAUCUCAUGUUUGAGCUCUGUUCGUUAAGCAGUUCGAACAACGUUCGUGUUCGUUCGUUAAUUUUCGAAUUCCAAACCUGUGUUCGUGUUCGGUUCGUUAAGUAAAAUUCGUGUUCGAGUUCGGCUCGUUUAACAUAAACGAGCCGUUCGCGAACAUGUUCGAAAUGCUCGAAUCCAAAUUAUUUUAUGCCUUAAAUAUGCCAUGCAAAUUAUUAAUCAUUCUAAAAAAUAAUUAAAGCGCUAAGUGACUAAAUUCUAUUAUUCAUUAACUAUAUAACUAACAUUAACAUAAAAACAACAAAUAAAACAAAGAAAUUUGCCCUCCAAAUAUAAAAGUCCAGCCAUAAAAUUAACCCUAAAUUUGUUAAAUGAUAAUUAUGUCUAUGUUCGCGAACGUUCGUUAAAACUCGCGAACAUGUUCGUGUUCGCGAACGUUCGUUUAGCAUGUUCGCGAACGUUUGUUAAAACUCGUGAACAUGCUCGUGUUCGCUCGAUUAUUAAUCGAACAAAAAAAUUCGUUCGAAUUCGGUUCGUUUAAAAUUUCGAACGAGCCUUUCACGAACACGAACGAGCCGAAACGAACCGAGCUACCGAACAGCUCGGUUCGUUUAACAGCUCUAUUACUGUCCGCGGAAGACUGUGAUUUACAAGUGAAGGGUAAUUAAUUGAAAUAUUAGACUCGAGGUCUGAUUAAGCCCGACAUUUUCUUAUAGUUGGGAGUAUUUUUAAUCACAUGUGCCAAUAACAGCAUCUGUAAUAAUCAAUUGGAAAUUUUUAGCCUCAUUUGCGGUAGAAAAAUGAGGGUCCUCGAUUCCUUGUAAUCUAAUAUGAGUGGCAGAUCAACUUAUUUUCCUUAUCUUAAAAAAGAGACGUUAAGGAACAUGUAUACAUUUUCAAGAGGUAAUGUAACUUGGGUUCUUUUCUUCUUUUUUUUUUUCACUUUUUUCUAUAGAAGCAAAAAAGGGGUUAAUUACACUUUGCUCUCCUAAACUUUGGUAGUCACUACACUUUAUCCUUCUCAACUUUAAAAAUAUACAGUUUACCCCCAUAAAGACUAGUCAGAGCUAGAAAUGCCAAAAAAAAGUACAAUAACAUUAUUAUCCUUUUAUUUAUGACGUUAUCUGUAACCUAUUAUUAUUUUCUUUUAUUGCUAGAAAAUGAAAAAGUUAUAUUCAGUUUAUUAUCCUUAAAAUUUUUUUCUAUUGGAUUAAUAUUUACUUUUACAUAUGUUCCGUUCAAUUUAUAAAUAACACAAUAAUUAACAGUAAAUAUAAUUAGCAAUUUUUUGAAAAAUGGUAAUAUUAAACUUGUUAUUUUUUAUUAUUGUAGUUUACAUAGACUUUUAGAAUGAUAUUAUUGUCAUUUUUUUGUCAAAUUAGUCAAAUGUCAAAGACUUAACAACCAAAAUUGUUGAGAAGCACUGGUAUGCCUUAUUUUUUAAAUUUAGAGGAGAAAAAUAGAAAUUAAAUAAAACUUCAAUUCUUUUUGGACAGAAAAGGCAAUAACAGUAAAUUAUAAAUAAUUUCAACAACGAAAGAGCUAUGUUGUCAUGACACUUAAGGACCAAUACUAAAGGUCUCUGAUUUUCUUUUGCUUAAGACGUAGGAACUAAUUUAUUAGGGCCUGAGUGUAGAGAAAUAGGUUGGCCGCCGAAAGGGUCGAACUCAAAAAUUUACAAUGCUGGGCGAAAAUUGGAUUUCUUGUUAUCCAUGUAACCUUUAUUCUAAACCACCAGCUCUUGGGCUCGUGGCCACCAUCAAGCCAAGGGAUUGAUGGGGUGGGAGGCAAGGGUUUAAAUCUUACCUUCCAUCAAAAUGCCACUCUUGUGACUCUGCUUCAAAUUCAGACGGGUGCGUAGUGCGGGGGCGAGGUCAUCCAACUGUACAGUAAGCUACAAUAACUUGUCACUGUAGGUUUAGUUGACCUUCCCCGUAGUUAGAGUAGGAGCAGGAGUAGGGAUGACAAUUGACAAAAAAAAAAAAAAAAAAGUAACCUUUAUUCUAGUGUAUACUUCUUCCCUGUUUGUUCGUGAUUUCUUGUUAUCUUUAGUAAAAUUUAUCCCCAUUAUGGCGUUACGUUGUAAUUUUAUAACUUGUCACUUGCAAACCUCUGACGCAAGUCAAGCCUUUUGCCUUGUCAUAUUUUUUCAAGUGGGCAAAAAGUUUAAAAGCAUCGGUAAGGGAAAAAAAAAAGAGAAGAGAAAAUACGAAGCAAGAAAUCCAAUAAACAAAAGUUUAUUAGGGUUUUAUUAUUAAUAUACUGAUUCUGGAGAAUUAGACAUGGAAGCCAUGAGAAGGGUCACCUCAAAGGGGUGAACCAAAUUUUUAUGAUGCCAAAUUAUUUAAAUAUAAAAGACCAACAUAGGCCUAAUUAGGAGCCGAAAGGCCUUUGGCUGGCGCAGUCCAAAUUGUCGCCAUAGCUCACUCCCAGUAUGUCGCAGUAUCUCUUAUAGAAACCAAUUCUGUCGUUCAUCUGUGGGUUGGAGCCUUUUCCGCAUUCAAUUCCACCAUUGAUGAUGUUGGUAACGACACCGUAUCCUGGGCGGCGACCAGCCGCAUUAUCAGCUUGGGACGGUGUCCAUCUGCCGGUCAUCACGUCGUGGCAGGAAGGCUUUGGGGACUGGGGCGUCAUCCAAAACCAAAAUGCAGUCUUGAAAGAAAUGGUUGGGUCAGUUGCGACUAAAUCUGGGUUGUUUAGGAGAUCGGAUCCUAUGGCUCUCCCUGCUGGACCAUAGUUGUAGUUGCUACAAUAUUGGAUCAAAUAUCGAUCAGUAAAAGAAAUUCAAUUAAGAAGAAGCUAAUUUAACGUUUCUUCUCAAGAAUUUUGGAUAUAUAGACUGGGAUUUUGUUUGCUUACUAGGAGAUUUGAAUUGGUCCUCGGCCGUAGUAUUUUUUCCCAGGAGCACAGGGCCACUGUUGGUUGGCGACACAAUAAUCUGGAGGAUUACCUUGUUCUUGCUUGAAGCAAUAUCCCCAUGCAUAAGGACCGUCUGGGGCAGUUGCCCAUCCGCCUAUGUCAAAUCAACAAAAUGAUGAUGCCCGUUAGUAUCACACUAUCUUUCUCCUUAUUCCCAUUUUCUUUCUUUCCUUUUUUUCAAUUACUCCUACCAUCAUUUUUCCCUCUAAACUCAGAGUUGUUUGACAACUGGACUUCGUCCUUAAGAGUCUUGACCAUUUCAGUAGCUAGGUACGUAAAUUAAAAAAACAAUGGGAUCAUCAUGUUAUCGAUCGUUAUGGGAAGAUAACAAAUUAAGGGCCACUAAGGAUUAAGACAAGGUAGUUUUGAUUUUGUACCUGUUGUUUCAUGAGAAGUUUGAGCCAAGAAGGCCGCUAUUUCUCUUUUACGAGCAGUGAUAUCACCAGUUGUUCCAAAAGCCCCAUUUGACCUGGCAGCAGCUAUGAAAGCUUCGUAGGUGUAGAAACCGUGAGCAGGACAGUUUGCAUCAUUUCGAUGCUUCAGCAUUUGCUCGAAAAGGGGUUUUGUUAUAAUAGAACUGAGAUCUUGUGCAAAGACCCCUACAAGGGACAGAAAAGAGCACAAAACCACUGCCCAGAACCUCAUUUUUUUUCCCUCUCUUUCAAACACUGAUCAAGUUUCUGUGCAUUGUCGAAGGAAGAGUGCAGGCUAUAUAUAGUGUGUAGAGUGAUAAGGUUGGAGACUUUUCCACUCGUUUCUUUCGAGGAAAAUCAAGGUUUUUUUUUUUUUUUUUUUGGAUAAAACGGCGAAACAAGAAAAUCAACGUUUGAAUACUGCUAGGCACUCCUAAAUAUUCAAACAGCGACCGCUUAAGGAGUCAUACUUCAUUGUCAUGGUAAAACGUACCUUAAUAUAUAUAUAUAUAUAGCUAAAUCCUAAAGCAGCGGAGGAGGUAGAAAAAAUUUUCAAUGGGGCCAAAAACAACACUAGUAUUUCUUACGAGUUUUUUUGUUUAUUUUAAAAAAAAGGGAAAUGCCAAUAUUCAUGCAAUUAGUAACAUUAAUGCAUUUAUUUUGUGAACAACGUAAAAAAAAAAAAAAAAAACUCGGCUGAAUUUACUCACGUAAUUACCAUUUUGCUUGAAAAAGAAUAAAAAGUCAUUUAAAAUUAUUCACAACGGAUUUUCAUGUUCUGAUAACCAUUUAGGGUCCGUUUGUUUCGGGUGAAAAUAUUUUCCUAAUUUUCCGUGUUUGGUUGCACAAAAGUUACUGAAAACAUUUUCCUAUGUAAAAUAUUUUCACUUAUCUUAUGGAAAACAACUUUUCUUCCAAACUUACUGAAGUUGUUUUCCGAAAUGCAUGCAUCCCGCCUGUAGUAUAUUCUAAACUUACUGAAAACAUUUUGUAGUAUGUUCUUUUUUUUUUUUUUAGUGUAAACAGAAGGACUCGAACCCAAGACCUCUUCCUUACACUCCCUCCCCCGUACCACCCAACCCAACCCAACCAUUCCCCUAAUAUAUUCAAAAUAAAAAAAAAACCUCAUCCUGCUCAUCCUAUACUAGUAAUUAAUUAUGUAUAAUAGAGACAUUCUUUUCUAAAGAAACUUUCAGCAGUGAGAGUGCAAGAUAUAUGUCACAAUAAGCAUUGCAUGUGAUUGAUAUUUGACACUAAAUGGCCAGCAAUUUGUUUAUUGCUUAAGGAGAUUUUUUUAUUCAUAUAUACAUUUCUCCAAGAUUUUUUAAAGUUAAAUAAUGAGAUAAAUUUUCUUAUUUUGCAUGGGAAGAAGUAUGUAGUUAUAAUGUGUAGAAAGUAAAUAUAGAGAUAAAAGUGAAAAUAUUUCAAAAGUUAAACAAACACCAGAAAAAUGAAGUAAGAAAAUUUUUUCAAUAAACUAACCAAACACCUGAAAAUGAUGAAAGGAAAAUGAUUUUCAUGGAAAAUUACUUCCACGGAAAAUAUUUUCCCAAGGAAAACAUUUUACUUCCAACUAAACAGACCCUUAUAAUCUUUCAUUUUCCACUCCAUAUAUUUUUGUCAAUAUAAAUAACUAAGCGAUCAUUUAUUCAAGAUUCUAAAAUGAAUGAGUGAUAUAUUAUGCCACCAAAUUCCUAGGGAAGUAAAUGACUAAUAAAUAUAACAAACGAGUCAUAAAUUAUACUAGAAACUUCCAAGGGAACUAAAUGGCUAGACUCUUAGUGUUAGAAAGUUUUGGGUUAUUUAUUGCCCAUUUUCAUUAAAUUACAAAACUGGUAGUGUUAUGUAUAUUUUACUUCUUAAUAUUUUAGUGGGGGCAUGAAAUUUUUUCAAAUUACGUGGGUAAUAGGGGAAAUUUGGCAUUACUAAUUGGAAAAAUAUUGAUGGAGGCUUGUGCUCCCAGUGCCCUCUCCCCCCUUGCAUCCGCCACCAUCCGAAAGGACAAAUAGAGGAAAAAACACUUGUACCAUUUUUUAUCAUUUAUAUCGUUGGGAUGUUAAAUACUCACGGAAGUGUCAAAAAAUUCAAAGGUAAAAGUACCUAAAAUAUAGGGAUAAAGAAAUAAGAUAACAAUGAAUUUGAAAAUUUUAGUGGUUAAAAGUAUAGUUUAUAACCUUCAAAAAUCACAGCUUCCCGCAACAUUUCUAUUUUCCCUUGACAUAUAUGACUUGUGAGUAACCAUCGUCACCUUGAACAAGACACAUACGAUCGAUUGAUCUAAACAAACAUGAGUUUUACAGGAAGGAAAAAAUUGAACGUCUGACAUCAUCAUGCAUUGGAUACUUAUCAUUAUUUUUUCAACAUUGACCAUUCCAAUUAACUGCUGGGGACUGAACUGAAGUACCAGUUUUGUAUUCAAGUAAAAAUGGAGACUUGCCUAAUAUUUUGACUAUAUGGAAUGAGGUUGAGUGCAGGAGGUCGUAUCCAUGGUUGGGCAAGACCGAGCCACUGGGAGAUGAUUGCGGGAGGAGAUUAGAUCAUUGGGCUGCUAAAUAUGGAAGGAACAUAACGGUAUGAGCAGCCCUUUAUCUUCAUCACUUUUGACUAUUGAGCGCUGAAUUUGUUUUGCAAGUUACACGUAUAAUAUAUAGUAGUUUGUCAAGUAAACCGACGUCUAGAUGCGGCAUCCCAAUUGUCAAAUCAAAUCAUCAUAUCUGAUUUCAAAGCUUCGCGAGGCUGCUGUUAGCUACGCAUCAAAUUGGAAAAAAUGUCUUACCAUUUGAAUGGGUGGAAAGGGGGGGGGGGUGGGCGGGGCGUGAAAUACUGGAAUGUAGAGAAGCGAGCCGCCACAAGGGAGUGGCUCAACUGAGUCGGAGGAAUCUGACGGAGAUUAAUUAUUGAAGAAGCGGUGAGCUUUCCCGAACCGAGCUGAAUUGAUGAGUUCGGUGUGCUGAUGGGUAGAGCUGGUCCCAAGCCUGCAAGACAGACAACAGGGUGAUGUAACAGGGGGCCCCGAGGUCGUCCCCGAGGGCACUCCGACGGUCAAGUUAGUUCACCGGUGGAUGAGGUUUACGGGAAUUAAGCAGCCGAGAGUAAUGUGCCAAUAGUGAGCGUACCUUGUGUAAGUGGUGUGCAUUACCAUUUAUACCUUCCUGAGAAUCCGACCUCCGUACGUUUCGGGACUUGCCCGGGAUAGCCCUUAUCCCGCGGUGAGGGGGAUUUCCUCCGACCUCUGCGGGAUGGUCCCCUGGGCCUCUGGAGCCCUAGCAGCGACGCGGUCCAGGACGGUUAUCAGGGGCCUGGGGUCGAGGCCCAGCUCGGUCAUACCUGAGCUGCCACGUGUUUAGGUCCAGGACGGGGCCUCUGCAAUUAUCAUCAGAUUAGACGGAUGCACCACGUAUCGAUAUGAAUUUAGAAUAAAUUUUAUAUAGAGACACGUUGAUGAGAAGUAAGGUUUGAACCAUUGACCUUCCAUCCCAUAAUUAAUGUGGUGGUCAGUACCUUUAGAAGGAGUCAAUUUCUCCAUAUAUAGUUAUCUUAUCUGCCAUCAAACUGUCAUUAAUUUGCUGAUUAAGAUUUGAUAGGAUACUUGGAAGUUUAGACUGGUAAAGAUCAUCAUGGGUUGUUUGUUGACUGUCAUCUGAUGGGUUCGGCAACUGUAUAAUCAGAGCAGCAGAAAGAUCGCCAUCAUCAUCACAUAUUAGUGUCAUCUGAUGGGUUAAGUAAGAAACGUACGUCUAAAUUACUUUGCGUUGAAGUGUUGGUUUUGGUUAAAAGAAGUAUGGAGGCCUGAACCUAGACUAGACAUUGUGCUAGAAUUCUUUGCAGUAAGCUACUUAUAUUAUACGGCAGGUUCAAACUGAUCUUUAGUUGCUAGAGCUUUCAACUUUUCAUUCAGCAGAGAGUGUAUUUAGCGUGGAAAGUGAGAUGAACCUGCAAACUCUUUCCCGGGGCGGCUUCCAAGUUCUUCGACGCCCUAAAUACGCCGUUAAUGGACCAUCAAGGAAAACGGUGCGCUAGCUAGUGCCGGACUGGCAAUGGAAUUUUGUAUUUGGACCAAUUCAAACAGCUGAUUCCGACAAGUUGAUGGACUCACUCACUUGAUGUAAAAACUUGCAAAAAAAAAAAAAAGGUUUCAAUAAUUGUGAAACCUAAUUACUCAACAACAGAUAGCGCAACUACAUAGAUGAGAUGGAUAAUUCAUCUCUUAUUCAUCUCUCAGUUUAGAAAUUAUAAAAUGAGUUGAUAGGAACCGUUAUUCUAUUAUAGGAACCGGUUUUUAUUUUUGGGCAAAACCCCUUAUACGGGCGGAGAUGUCAAUUAUAGAAUUUUAUUAUUACCAAUAGCAAACCCAAAAAAGUUGGAGAGGGACGUGCACUUAACCUUCGGUUAACUACAAAGUAUAAAAGUAUUAUUUAUUCCCUUACAUGAUAUAGGAUUAGGUAUAGGCUUUACCUCCUCAAUAAUCAACAAAUAUAAUAGCAUUGAAGAAGGAAGAGAUAUUUUCUAUGUUCAAACGGAGAUAAGAAAUCAAGACCUGAGUGUAAGUAACAUUAUGCGGUAGCACUAGCAUAUAUAUAUAUAUUAUAGCUCUACCAUUUGUAUUAUGUAUCAGUAAAUAAAGGGUACGAAAUGACCUAACCUGCACUCCUAAUCACAACAUAUUAAAGUGAAUCUUCCACAAAUUAUUAAAGUGGAGUUGAUCAGCUCCGCCAUGAUGAAUUCCAACCUGCUUUGAACCAAAAUCCCAUCCAGCCUGUAAGAAGGAUACAAAAGCUGUUGGUUUAUACCGGGUUAAAUUGUAGCUUGGUGAAGAGGGCAGCAGGAUUUACGGGGUAGGCAACUAUUGAAAAAUAUGUACAGUGGGUUAUUGAAAAAAAUAUUUAAAGCAAUGAUACAGCUAUUCUGCUCCCAUAGGCACAUAGGUUUGAAUAUAUAUCUGCCAUUUAUUCAAAUGCAUACGAUUGAAAGACAAUUAAAAAAAAAAAGUGUGUUAAAAUUAAUAGUGUACCACUACUUUUUUUUUUUUUUUUUGUUGAAAUUUACAAAUGGGGUAAUACCUAUACUAUCUUAUCUUACUGAUGAAUGCAAUUUAUUAGGGGGGAACCAAUCAAUUGAGAUGUAUAUAAGAGCUAAGAAAUUCAAAAAAAAAAAAAAAGAUUUGAAGGGGGGAGGUCUGGUUGAAUUAAAUUAGUUGGGCUAGACGUUGACAGUGAACACGGUCCAGGCGACUUGUGAGGUUAUGAACAUAUCAUCUUCAUAGUUACAUAUAGAUACUUCCGUUCCAGGCAUCGAUCGUAAUUUAAUAUUUGUUUGGGUUCUGAAACUAGACGUUUCUGGGAUUAAUUUUUUUCCCCCUCCUAAACUCAACAUGGGCAGAGAGUAUAUUUGUGUAAGGUAUGCAUCUGUAGCUCUUUUUUUUUGUUUUGGUACGCAUGUAGUUACAGAGUGAGAUUCAAAUUACGAAACACCAAAUACUUAAUAAAUUGUGGAGUUUAGAUAGAUGAGGAGGUCAGUCUACAUUUUUGGAAAAUGAAUUGCGAAGCAGUCGUUAGCGGAAAGAAAGCUGUUGCAAGCAGAAGAAGAAAGCUGUUCCUGCAUUGAAUUGACAUAUUUAUCAAUGGGGCAUACGGAGCUUAAAUGAUGCCACUUUCAUGUUUUAUAGCAUCACAGACAAAAGUCAUAUGCAAUUAUUUUUCAUUAAUAGAGCUAGUGAGGAAUGAAACAUGUUUUUUUUUCUUUAAAAAAAAAAAAAACAACAGCAGCCACCUUAGCUUAUGAAGAAAUUGAGUUUCAUAUUUUUUUCCUCAGAUGACUAUUUCGUAGGAAGGAACACACACACACACACACACCCCAAAUUAACGAUGUUGUGAGCCUCACAACACAACGAAGAAACACAUUCUUGGAGGCUUUGCAAAGCCCAUUUUCGUGACCUUGACUUUGACGUGGUAAUCACAAGACUUCCAGAAAAGAAUAUUCUCUGAUGCCGCAGCUAAUUUCAACGGUUUCCAGACGAUUGCCAAAACACCAAUGGAACAAAAGCCCAUCAAAACAAAGAAGGUAAAAGAUACUUUCAGCACCGUACUCGGGACAAAUUUGUGACACAAAGAUGAGACUGCAGAUGCGUUUUGGACUCCAAUGAGAAGCCCGUGGCUUGAAAAUUGCAGCCUGGAUGCUUUUGCCAGCCUCCUUAACUGCUAACUCCAGUGCUGAAAAUCCAGGUUAAUGUCCGCGGAAGACUGUGAUUUUCAAGAGAAGGGUAAUUAAUUGGGCUUCAGAUCCUCCGUCCCCAGAAUAGUCCAUGUCCCCUCUGUCCCUUAUUUAUAUAGCUGCCAAGUGUCUCUAACCUUUUGUUAACCCAAACUCAAAUAAAACCGAUAAUAAUGGAUUUACAAGUUUUGUUAACCCAAAUUCAAACAAACCGAUAAUAGUUGAUUGACAGGUUUACUCAAAAUCAAUUAAAAAAGAUAACUCAAAACUAUUAUGUAAUUAAUUUUAAAUCAUCGUAUUUACAUAAUUAUGAGAUGUAAAAAAAUUAAAAAGAGUUAAAUAAGUUGAUAUAAACACACACAUGGUUGAUAAGAAUCUUAGAUAUUGGAAUUUGAUUAUCAAAAAAUCGUCUGCUGGAUAAAAAUAAGAGAAUAGUAAUAAAAUUUCAACCACUCUUACUAGGUACACCUAAAAACCCUGCUAAUACUUGAAUAACCAUGGUCUAUCAUGUUGGUUUGUAAUAUCAAACUCUUGCCUAUUCAUAAUUCAAAACUUCUAAAAAUUGUCGGAUUUUCCAUCAGUUGUGCAUCUACAAACAAAACCACCAGGACAUGGCAUGGGACAGCCGCAAAUUUCAUUACAAGCAACUAAACUUGAACUCGGUUGGCUGGAAAUGACAUUAAGGUCUAUAAAGUCAUUGACAUUUGAUCCACUGAACUUGUGUCCUACUUCAACCUAUAAAUGUAGAAAAAAUAAUCAUAAGUACUAAAAUAUUGAGAUGAAAUUCUCAUAACAUCAAAUACUAUCAAUGGACAAUUACUAAGUUACUUGAAGUAAGUUUGUCAAUCUCAUAGAAUUUUGCAACUCUUCAAGAAAAUUAAAAUGUGCAACUUGGUUCAUUUGAUUUGGAGCUAAAACUGGAAUCUAUUUUACAAAAAAAGCAAUAAAGAGAAAAUUAUUUAUGGUAUGAACAUAAUUAAGUGCUUGAAAAGCCUUAUGCAAUAAGUUUUGCAUCACAUGAUAAUCACUCAAUUAGAAGAACAUAGCAAACAUACCUUAUUUAAACCAAAUGGCUGCACGAAGGUCACUUGUUCAGGAUAAAUUGCUUGAGCCAUGCUAGCAUCACCUGAGCCGAUCUUUUUGAUUUCUUUUUUGGUUAGAAAUUUUGUCUCCACAAAUAACAAAAAAUUAAAUUUUAGAUAAAAUAACUAUUUCUUGCAAACAAGUGAAUUAUUGGAAUAACUAAAAUUUAAUUAUAAACAAGAAAAUAUUACCUGUGACAAUUGCGUUGAGCAUAAAAUACGUUGGCUAUUUGAUUUCCAUAUGUUUAAACCAUCUCCACUACCAGUAGGACCUUCAUGCACAUGCUUAAAAAUAAAAAAUAUAAAAGAAUAAUUACAUCAUCAAGACUCAAAAAAAAUUAUAUCAGCAUAAUAUCUAAUUAAAGCUUAUUUUUCAUACAAACAAACCCAUGGCUGAUGGUGCUAGAUGGACUUGACGAUCUUGUCCAAACCUAUAUCCUUUAUGAAUGACUUCUUCUGAAGCCUACCAGUAAAAACAUGAAAAGCUGGUGUGAUUUAUCAAUCGAAAAAUAACUAUGUACCUGAGCAUUGGCUGUAUUUUCGGCAGUUAAGACCACACUUGUUGCAGCUGAUUUUCUACUAUGUGACUUUCUCUUUCUCGAUAUCUUUUCUAAUCCACUCUUCAAUCUCUUACCCGAAAUAAUUUUCUUUUUGGCUAUUAUUCCUUUGAUUUUUAUGCCAGUUUCUUCGUGAAUAGCAGGAUCUUUUUCUUUCAAAUAAUUCGUCAUUUCACUUGAGCCUUCAAAUGUCAAAUUUUUGCUCUGUAACUUGUCAUUAACCUUCUCAAACAGCUUCACAAGACCGUCUUUAACCAUUUCAUAUGUUUCUUCUGUUUCCGCUACUCUUGUAACCAAUUGAUUGUGAAACUUGCACAAGUUUCUAUACCUCAUAUUCACCAUUACUUUCGGAUUCAGUGUGUUAUUGCUCUUAGACAAGCUUGGACUUUGCAUAACCCCAACUUUUGCUUUCUUUGUCCAUCUCUUCAUUAUGUAUGGCUGUGGAACUUUGACAACAUUUCUUGUGGUAAGAACUUUCAGAGCAUGAGAACACAGUAUCCCACAAAACUCAUAUUUUUUGCAGCUACAAUGUACCGUGCCAUCCAAAGAGUCAUAUUUAACAACAUGAUGAUUUGUUUUUUCAUAAGAAGUGACAUGAUAAUGGAUUAUUGUUCUGACCUCGCUAAAAAUAAGUAAGCUGCUAUCAUGAGCUUUACAUAAUUCAUUUUGAAAUAACUUGAACACUUCCGGGGUAUAAAUAUUUGCUGCAUGCUUUAAUAUUUGAGCUGGAAAAGAUAAUACAGGAGUACUUAUACUUGCUCUAAAAUCAGCCUUUAACUCUUCAUAUCGACGACUAUCAAUCAAAUAUUGAAAAUGAUCAAAAAAAUGACGCAAAUUAUUUUUAUAGCUAACAUACCUUUUUACGACACUGUUCAUACUCUCACUUCUCUGUGUCGUAGUAAUAUCAGCACAAAAGGACUGGCGGCCAUAGACUAGUGCCCAUUUUUCUUUCAAUUUGAACAUUCUCUUUAGCCAAUCAUUAUCUUGAAGAUUAUACCUCUGUAGUAUUUUAUCCCAUUCAGUCACAAAAAUAUCCUCCUCUUCGAAAUCGUAUAUGCAUUUACCAAAGUCACCGGCAAAGUCUGUGAAUUUUUCAAAAACACCACUUAGAUGUAUGGCAGCAUUUUGGUAAAGGUGCCAAAUACAUAAUCUAUGUUGUGUCUCUGGCCAUCUGGAAGCUAAUGCUUUAGCCAUUGCUGCAUCGUGGUCUGUCAGAAUGGUUUUUGGCAUUUUUCCUGACAUAGUGCUAGCAAAUACAUCAAAUAACCUUUCAAAAGUCGGAGCUAUCUCGUCAUAUAAAAGUGCAGCACCAAAAAUAAUAGUUUGCUUGUGAUGGUUCACACCAACAAAGAGUGCAAGAGAACGACCUUCACAGUUUUUUCUGUAAGUUGUAUCAAAACAAACCACAUCUCCAAAAUCGGCAUAGUCAACUUUCAUCCUAGUAUUAGCCCAAAAUAUAUUAGUCAUCAAAUCAUCUUUAUCAACUUGAAUGGAAUAAAAAAAGUUUGGAUCUUCUAAUUGCAUUCCCUGUAAAUAUUCAAGCACUCCUCCAGUAUCCCCUAUUUUCAUAUCUCUUGUCCUCUUUGAACGUAAAUAAUUCCUAUAAUCUUCAGGAAUAAAGCCCAAAUUAUCCCGUCCAUCAGCUUGUUUUACCACAAAUUCAUGCGAUGCUUUUGGUGCAAUUCCUACACUGUUUGCCAUAUCAAUCUCUAUUACAUGAGUUUCAUGUAUUCUCCUAUGUGCUAUGAACAAAUGCAUUUUGUGAGGACUACAAAGAUAAUGAUUAUGUUCUGGUAUAAACUCAAUGACACGAUAUUUUUCACUUUUGCUGCAACUAAUUUUCAUUUUUGCCAAACAACCGAAUCUUGUUUCAGAACGAUGGAUUUUUACAUUGACAUCUCUUUUAUCUGCCCCUCGUUUGCCUUCGGCACUACAACAAAAUGUCCUAUCAAUUAUUUUACCAUUUUUGUCUUUAUGCAAUUUGCUUUUUCUAGUGCCGAACCCAACCUUCUUAGCAUAUGCUAAGUAAAAUUGACCGGCUGCCUCUUCAUUGUCAAAUUCCAUACCUACCUGAGGGAUUUCUUCUUUAGGGAUAGAGGGAUGAAUUGAAUUGAUAUCCGUCUCUUUGUUUGAAUUUGAUGCACCAAUAAGCUCAAUGUCUGUAUCUUCAUUGAUUGUUUGAGAGCUGUGAUGAUGUUGAGUGUUAUCUAUAAAUUCCAAUUUAUGACAAGGUGGGAACUUGCUCUCAAGGGAAUCAUCACCUUCCAUGAUCUACAAUUUCAAAAGAUUUUAAUAGUUAACUUUACCAUUUCGAAUCAGUGUUUUUUUUUUUUGCAAAAUUAAUUUUUAACUCAUUAUAAGAAUUUUUCACAAAAAAAAAAUAGUAAAAAGACAAAAGUAAACAAUUGUUCAAUAUCUACGACGUAAUUAAAUACAAAUAGACCUGCUUAAAUAUCGAAUGACAUUUGUCAAAAAUAAAAGCUUUUAACUAUAAUGUUUAUCACUGAAAAAGUUUACUUCAAUCACUUUGACUACUAAAGGCUUUACGUCAUUACUAAAAGGGGAUUGUACUAGUUUAUUCCUGAAAGGGGCUUUACGGCAUUACCAAAGGCUUUACUUCAAUUAGAUACUAGUUUAUGAACUAUAUUGACUUCACAGUGUAUACAGAUACUUAUAUGAACAAUGAUGUUGAGAGGGGAGUGUACAAUAUUGUUUCCAUCGCAUCCAAGUUCCAAUGAAUACAGGUAAUUUCAAAUAUGACAAGACAAAUCAUGAAUCAAAUAUAUUGUAAAAUUGGCAUACAUGAUCUAUUGAUUUGUUUUACCUGGAUAAAGAUGAAACUGAAUCUUGCUACCUGAUCCUUUGAGCGUUUUUGCGGCAAGAUUAAAGAUAUAAUGAGUGAAUCAAAAUACUUGUUAGGGUUUAAGAAAAAGAUGAUUUGGGGUAAAAAAUAAAGAAGAGUUUUAGUUGAUUUCUAUGUUUAUGAUCAACAAGACUUUUUUUUGUUAAAAAGAAAAUAAAAAAUAGUUUUGAGUUAUCUGUUUUAAUUGAUUUUGAGUAAACAUGUCAAUCAACUAUUAUCGGUUUGUUUGAAUUUGGGUUAACAAAACUUGUAAACCGAUUAUUAUCGAUUUUAUUUGAGUUUGGGUUAACAAAAGAUUAGAGACACUUGGCAGCUAUACAAAUAAGGGACAGAGGGGACAUGGACUAUUUUGGGGACAGAGGAUUUGAAGCCAAUUAAUUGAAAUAUUAGACUCGAGGUCUGAUUAAGCACGACAUUUUCUUAUAGUUGGGAGUAUUUUUUUAAUCACAUGUGCUUGUACAAAAUUGAUAGGUAUCUAGUUUGUACAAUAAUAAAUACUUAUUCGAAAAAGAAAAUAUAUAUAAUUUUUGUAUAUAGCGGUGAGUAGGGUCGAAUCCACAGAUAUUGAGGAAAUAUAUUUCUUCUCGGAUUCAAAGUAUGGGGGCAUUUUGGAGAUAACCAACUAAAUUUAGUAAAAUCAAAAUAACACAAAUAAAAUAAAAUUAAGUCGAUAAUAGCAAAACUCUAACCAGCGGAAUAACUGUUAGACUAAGUUCAUAAACUGAUCAUAGAUGCAAUGAUGAAUUCAAUUAUUUAUUGAUAAAUUAAUUCUACCAUAAAAGCCAACUCUUCCUUAUUUUAUCGAUAGUUAAGGUACAACCAUUGACUAUUUCUCCAAAUAGGAAACAACUCUAGGAACCUCUCAUAGAAGUUUAAUUUCCCAAUUGCAUGAAGAAUUAGAAGAGUUUAAUUCUAACCAAUCAACAAGUUACAAGGGUCUCUUUAAGUUAGAUUAUUCGUUCCACUAACACAAACCUAAUUAUGCCAGUUGCUACCGAGAUUAAAUCAAUCUAAUAAUUAUGUAUUAAAUCACUUCAAUUAACAAUCGACUAUCAAAUCAAUUUAAAUACCGGGUCCUUUGAUAUUCAAAUAACAUAAUAAUUAUAAAUAUUAAAACCAAAGAACGAAUAAAUACCAAUAAAGGAAAGAAAUAGUGUAAUUAAUGCGAGCUCACAGUUUGUAGAUUCAAGUUUUCAAGCCGUCCUCAGGCUAGAAAACGAAUUUAGCGGCGCAUCCUCAAAGGAAAUCCACAAGAAUCCAUUGAUAAUAAUUGUGUAUAGUUUUUCCUCCCAAAAAGUGAACGAAAGACUCCUAUUAUGUUCCAAAGAAUCACCCUUGCGAAAUUGUUGCUGGCCGAACUCUUUAUCACGCAAGUCCGUCCUUUUUUUCUCCCUUUGUUUUCUAUUUAACAUCAACUACUAAUAAUAAGACAUGUUUCCCAAAAUAGAAAAAGGAAACUACUUAAGAUGAUAUUCCAAGUUUUCUCAUUUAAUACUAAAAGUAAUAAUGAAAAUUAAAGUUUUCAAAGUUUUCCUUCAAAAGCUGUCCUGAGUUCGAUUUGGGCUUGGAAACCGACCCGAACAUGCCACCAUCAAAUUAACUGAAAAAUUGCCCCUUUUAAUCAUGUUUUGCUCAUUUUCCUACAAUUAGCAUCAUUAACUAAAUAUAAAUAGAAUCCAUCAAUUAAAACAAUAUUUGGCUAAAAUCAAGAAAACUAUAAUCCUAAAUUAAAUAGCAAUUUUGCAUCCUAUCAACCUCUUUGUUCUUCUUUAUUCAUCUGUUAAAUUUGGUUGUCUAAAAUACUGUAAUGACUCGAAGGAGUUACAAACACUAGAUUUUGCCCAAGUUUAGCAUGGAUGAGACUGCAGAUGCGUUUUGGACUCCAAUGAGAAGUCUGUGGCUUGAAAAUUGCAGCUCGGAUGCUUUUGCCAGCCUCCUUAACUGCUAACUCCAGUGCUGAAAAUCCAAGUUACUGUCCGCGGAAGACUGUGAUUUACAAGUGAAGGGUAAUUAAUUGAAAUAUUAGACUCGAGGUCUGAUUAAGCCCGACAUUUUCUUAUAGUUGGGAGUAUUUUUAAUCACAUGUGCCAAUAACAGCAUCUGUAAUAAUCAAUUGGAAAUUUUUAGCCUCAUUUGCGGUAGAAAAAUGGAGAAAUUUCCAACUUUGUGAUGAAUUUUAAAAAAAUUCUACAAAAGGAGUGAUUUUGGAAUUAAUUUCCGUCAGGGGGGUCUUCGCAUUUGUGAAAUGCGAGCUCACUGAGCUCGCAUUCGUGGAAUGCGAGCUCUGCUUAUUGAGCUCGCAUUCCACGAAUGCGAGCUCUUCUCAUUUUUUUUCCCUUUUUUAAGAGCUAGGGAAUUAUUUCCAGAAGGCAAAUGCGAGCUCUUAUCUUUUUUAUUUUGGUAAUUUUUGAGAGGUAGGGAAUUAUUUGCAGAAAGCUUCUAAUUUUUGUUUUAAAAAAUGUUGCAAAUAUUUAAAAUUUUGCAAAUAGCUCGCAUUUGUUAAAUUUUUAAAUUUGACCUGCAAAAAUUGUAUUUAACUUUUUUGUUAGAUAUCGGAUUUAUAAGUAUGACUUUUAGAAAAUUAAUUUAAAAAAUGUUAGGAAAAAAAUUUAAAAUGAUAUCUACGAGCUCCAUAAAAAAUUUAAAAGUAAAUGUAAAUAUUGUUUGUUUUGUAGAAAUUGCCUUUACUAAAAUGGUGUCGGUAGUAAAAUGUUAUUUUAAAAUCUGUACGAAAAUCUUAUUUUUCGGAGAAAGGUUAGAAAAAUUUUGUUUAAAAAUCUGUAAUGUUUAGAGGAAUAAUAUUUUAUUUAUUUUUGAACUUGCACCUGGCUAAAGUCAUCAAAUAUGAGCUAAAACAAAAUCAGAUUAACAAUAAUCUUGUUAAUAUAAUUUACUAUACAUGCAUAAUUCUUUUAUAAUAAAAAAAAUUGGUAAUCGUAUGGUUGAAAAUACGUUAUUUAAUUAUAAUACAUUUAAGUGGUGGAAAAAGUACACAUGAUUGUUCUUUCUAUCUCAUAGAUCAAUGUUCUUUCUAUUUUAUAGAGCAAUGUAAAAAUAGAAUGAAAUUGUUAACAUGUAAGGUGUUGAGUAUUUGUUGUGAAUAAAAUAUUAAGUGUUUUUCCUUUUGUAUCAAAUAAAUGUUUUUGAUCAAAUUAUAAUUUUCCUUUGCCAUGCAUGAAUCGUAUUUAUUUGUUGACACCGAUGAAUAUUAGUUAUAAGAAUGUAAUAGUUAAUAGUGAUUAAUAUAUGUUACAAUUUCAACCGUAAUUUUAGAAAUUGCAUAACGCAAUCUUAUUUAAACAAAAUUAUAUAAGUUAUAUUUAUGAAGUGCAUGUUAUUUGUUUGUUAGUUGGAAAGGAAAAGGAAAAAAAUGAAAACAAAGAAAGGUUAAGGAAGACGGGCGUGACACUUGCUGUAGAGAGACCACUGAUCCGAUCCUUGGAUGGGAAGCUUGAAUAUAAAUCCGAGGACGGAUCGUUAGGAUCCGACCUCGGAUAGUUAGUAUCCGAACUAGUAUAGUUAGGAUCCGACCUCGGAUAGUAGGAUCCGAGGGCUUCGCAUGAUGGAUCCGAGGGCGGAUCUUCUGACCUCGGAUACACUCCUACAGAAGUACAGACGAGGGAUCGGAUCUGUCUUAGGUCUCAAGGAUCCGAGCUCGGAUCCUACUAUAUCCGCGAACCGAUCCGAGCUCGGAUCGGUUCGCUAAGUUCUCGGAUCCGAGAGGGCUCGGAUCAGUUUCAACAGAAAGACAGACGAGCCCUCGGAUCUAUGUGGGUUGAAUUGGAUCCGAGCUCGGAUCUUUCAUCCGUGGUCGGAUGUUUCUGGGCACCUUGUGAUCCGAGCUCGGAUCCGUGAUUCUCUGCAAUAAUUGCAGAAACUGCAAAUUUUUUCAACUUUUUUUCCCUUUUUCCGGCCACUUCGAAUUCGGAAAUUGGAUAAACAUGGAUCAAUUCUAAAGACUAACGCACGUGUAAUAUACCAUAAACACAUGCUCCAACCUCUCAAAACACAACAAACACAUUUACAUUGGAAAUCGAGGGGUGAGGAACUUUGGUGAUUUUUGCAUUAUUACACUAAAAGGGCAUUUUUGGGCAUUAAAUACAUAUCAAAUGUGUCCACAUGCUUUUAUAACCAUGAUAUCACCAAAAUUGACUUGAAAUGCACAGUGCAUGUAUAUGCAAUGGAAUUUGUAGGAGCACUUCAAACCCAAUUUGGUAACAAAAACUGCCUUUUGACACGUGUUCUUGAACGAACAUUCAAGAUCGAAGUUCCGACAUCUAACUGAUUUCAUAUGCAUGAAAUAGAGGUGUCGGGCUGUAUAAUGCAUAAGAAUACUCGUAUAACUGCAGUUAUUUGGUAGUGUUUAAAAGAGUACUCAUAUAAAGUGAGAACUAAGAUAACUCGUUCGCGUUGGAACACUCAUAUUCCUGAAAAUUUAGAAUAUAUACAAAAAUGUCACAAACAAAAGGGCAUUUUAUCCAUAAGUAAGGUUAUUCAUACAAUAACAAUACAAGUAGCGUGCAAUCAAUGGUACCAAAGUUUCCCAUGAGUACCACAUGUUGUUGGUUUGGGUAUUUUUUGGCUUCGACGUGGUUGGUUUGGCACUAUUGUAUGGACCUGAGUCAUAUGCGAUAACAGUGUAGCAUCUUCAUUUUCAGUGCUUGUGCCUUCACCUCCUUCACAUUGCUCAGAAACAUGGCGAUGUGAGUCCGUAUCGGUUGUAAACUCUGUGUACAUCACAGGGGACCUGUGAGAUUGGCCAAUCGAUACACCUCUGCCAUGCAUGCCUUCGGUCUGAGGUGUGACAAAAGUAGAUGCGCCAGCUUGGUCUUCCGUAGCCAUCGAACCUCUAUGGAAGCUAGUCUGUAUGGUUGGUUCUGGUGAUCGGAGUCUACGACGGCGCCCACCGCCAUGCUGACUUCCCUGGGUAUUUCUAGAAGCUCGCUGGACACGACAUGUAUCAGGGUAGAGUGGAAUCUCAUGUGGUACGUGUGGAGGGCGGAAUGCAAGUCGGCGUGACUCUCCUACAUGAUGCAAAGACGUGGAUGCAAAGUCGCUCAACUCUUGAAAGUAUCCGCUGUGUUGUUCAUCACUAACUACAAGAGAGUCCUGUGCCAUGAAAUACAUUCGAGACAUGGCAUCGCUCUGCAAAAACAAAUAUAAGAAUCAGAAUGACAUACUCGGGUAAAAAUUAGUAAAAUCCUGUAAUACGCUCAAAGUGAUUAUUAAAAGUGAGUUGGAAACAAACUGUACAAGAUAUUGUGCCCUAGCGCUGUCACCCUGAAAGCCCUCUGGGAAAGCGGGAAAUCGAUUCGGAUUUGAGAUAUAAAUCACCGUCCCCUCCCGAUACCACUGAACAUACUCAUCCGAUGGAUAUGUAGUAUCUGCAAUUACAGUGCCGUCUUGUACAUGCACAUGUCGAUCAGUCCAAAUAUGAAGAUAUUGUCUAUGCGUGGUGUUCCAGUCUUGAUUCGCCCUACCACGGCGAUCUAUAGAAUGUAGAGCUGCUUGAUUAUCCGUUAACCUCAUAUCAGGCAGGGACUGAUAUAAUCCAAACUGCCGCAUAACCCGAUGCGGGAGGUGCGGCUCAACUACAUCCCAGCAGAUAAGAUACGUUACGGACCUCCAAAUGUCCCGACCUGCAGUACAAUACGCAGGAAGAGAAGCGAAAACGUCUUCCGAAUAUGGCUGCCAUAUGAACUGAAAAAAAUAUGAAAAUGAAAGAAUGAUUUCGAAGGGUGAGGUUCCAAACACGUUUUUCCCUUUUUUACACGAUUUUGGCAAUGGCCUAUUGUCCGGACAUAUGUACAAUACCUCUUCAGGACGCAAUCCUGUCAGCUGAUCUCGGAAUGCGGGCACAACAUGCCUAACAACUCUAUGUACGUCCAAGUCAUUAUUCCACCUAUAUUUAAUAAAGUAGGAAACCAAGCUUAGGCAAAUUGAAGUCGUUUGGAUUAUCAAAAGCCAUUAAAAAAACCUAAAUGGGUGCGAAACGCGCACCUAGCUGCAUAUGGACCAGGGUAAUGCUCCAACGGCGCGAUUCGGUUCGGACGCAUGGUUGGUAUAUGUUCCCAAAUCCAGAGCUGUUAGAAAAUUAUAAGCAAUGUUAGAAUUGCAAAAUGAUAAAAUGCAAAAGAUUGGAGAUUGAUUCUAAUGUACCUGUAGCAAAACUAAUGGACCGGCAAUAGCCGAUUUGGCAGGAUGCGUGGCAUCACAAAGUGACCGAUAGAGAGUCGCCAAACACGCACUACCCCAACUAUAUUGCCCAACAGUUUCCAAGUCCCGCAGUAAUGGAAGAUACAACAAAGGGACUUUGUUUCCGGACUUAUCCGACAAUAAAUGUCCACCUAAUAUCAGUAGGAUGUAGAUGCGCGCACACUGCCUACAUUCGGCAUCUGAAGCAUCGGCGGGCAACUCUGUAUCCAAGACUCUUGCUAAACAUCCCAAUUUUAGCCUCUGUCCAUCAAAGUAUCCAACUGCAGGAGAAAAUCCAAGGAGCUCCUCACAGAUGGCUCCCCACUCCUGAAUGCUGCGGUAUGUGUCUACCCCUAUAACCGGUGGACCAUCGAUGUGCAAACCCCACAACACCUCUACAUCCUGUAAUGUCACGGUAGCUUCUCCCACCGGUAAAUGGAAUGUAUGCGUCUCGGGCCGCCAUCUCUCCACUAAACUUGUGAUCAAAGAAUGAUCAACUAUCUGAUAUCCACUCUCUAGCACCCCCUCAAAUCCAGCCAAGGCAAUAUAACGACAAACCGGAUCAGGAAUAGGCGUAUGCUCCCAAAAUCCUCUGUCACACCGUCUGACAUCUAACUGAUUGCCCUGAAUAUGUCCGUGAAAAAUGGAAUGUGUCCGGUGUGCAGUUCCCGCCGAUAUAAUGUCGUGCACGUAUGGGCCUGGAUGUAGGCCUGCAGGGAUAGGGGUGUCGGCCAUAAUUCCAGACAAAUAUCUGCAACGAUUAAAUUGUAAGAACAAUGAAUAAGUAAUAUCCAAAAAGUAUCCUGUAUCCACUUUUGGACAAAUCAAAAAAGGUUGGGAUGUCAAAUUUUAGCAAGUUUUGACCAUAUAUCCGUUAUACAUCGCCUAAAACUCCUUACCUUGUAUUUAUAUUUUUUUUAAUAACAUUUGUUAUCCCUCUAUGUAUUCAUAGCGUGCAGCAAUGUAUUUGUAUUUAUAUUUUACCAAUUAAUAUAAAAAUUUGACAGAAUCUCCCCUAUAAAGCGGCCAUAACUCCCUGCCAAAAUAUAUACAAAAAUUUCAUAUCCUGUACAUGCAAGAGUGCUUACAUAUAUAACACACCUUCCAAGCAUUCCUUUAACAGAUAAGUUACAAAUCAAUGGAUAGGGGAUUUAGCGAGCAAUGAAUAAAACUGUUGGGCUGCACGUGUAAACUAGUUAUUUCAAUACAUAUCAAAGUACAAAACGAAGCAACAAUUCUAACUAAUGAACAAUGAAAGUCACUAAUGUAAUUAUUUAAAAUAAAUCCAGAAAAUUACACAAAUGAAGUAACUCGAACCCCACCCGCAAAAAGAAAUGCACUAACAUUAGUCCACAAUCUCUAGGGAGUCGAUCAAAUCAAGACCUAUAAUUCGGACAAUUUCGACUAUUGUGACCCGUCUGAUGACAAUUUCGACAUCUUCUUGGUUCGUCUGAUGACAAUUUCGACAUCUUCUUGGUCUGAAAACAUGCUUCGCAGUUCUCUCCUGAACAUUCGCCACUUGCGUAAUUGUCUUGCCCUUCCCAUUGCCCAACACAACUUGCGAAGGUGUAAACCUUUGAAGUGUGUCAUCAAAUUGUUCCUAACAUGUCGCAGGCAAAAUCUAUGGUACGCUAAAGGUUCCUCCCAAUAGUCAAAGUGUGUCAUGGUAUAGAUGAUACCAUUGUGGCGAUCAAAAAUGACACAGAUAGGAUGUCGAUCAAGCGCCACAUUAUAUCUCAAUUGUUCCAUGAACCACGACCAACUGGAAAUCGUCUCCUCAUCCACUAUGGCAUAAGCAAUUGGUAGAACGUGGUUGUUCGCAUCUUGAGUGACUGCAACAAGGAGUUUGCCCUUGUAUUCGCCACGCAAAUGAGUGCCAUCAACGCAUAUAACCGGCCUGCACAUGUGGAAUGCUUGAAUAGUCGGCCCAAACGCCCAGAAUACAUAUUUAAAGGUCUUAACUCGAUCCGAACUAUCCGAAUGAUGUAACCACUCUACCACGGUGCCUGGAUUGGAUGAAAUCAGGGCAUCAAGAUACUGCGGUAGUUCGGAAAAAUUCGCCUCCCAAGAUCCAAACACAAGCUCAAUUGCUUUACGUCUGGCAUACCAGACUUUUUUGUAAGACACAUCAACCUUCAAGUUUUCUUUAACGUCACUUAGUAUGUUCUUGACCUUUAAUUCAGGGUCAUCUUCAACCCGACGGAGGAUGUGCCUUGAAAUAACGGAAGCUGUGAGGCUUGUAUUGUUAUUUCUAAUCAUGUCGCCCAAGCAGUUAUGGUCAUUGACCCAUUUUGUAAUUUGCCACAUUCCAUGGGUCUUUUUCUUUACGACUCUAACACACCAGUCACAUGGUGGAUACGAUGGCGCGGUUGAAGUGGAAGGAAUUCUUUCAAUUGAUGAUUUGCAUUUAGCAAAUCACGUGUUACUCUUACUCUCAAUAACUCUGAACUCCCUAUUCUGAUUGAUGGACCACAGUCUAACUGCUCGGUUGAGCUGCUGCUUACUCUCAAAUCUCAUAUGGAGACGUAUAUUAUUAUUCUCCUCACUGAAUGUUACAAUACGCUCCAAUCCAUCCUCCCCUUCUAUAUCAUCAUCAUCUAUACUACCAAGAUCGGAGAAAAAGGCCAUUCCCCUUGGCACAUAUGCAGAGCUGCCAGCUGGGCUAUUGCGUCUGUCCUCUUGGAACAUAUCGAGAUUUACUCUUAAACCCCCACCUUCAUGCUCUUCAUCCGAAUCACUACCAGACACAUCUUGCGAACUCCGACUCUUCAACCUCUUCCGCAUCAACUUCCCGGUCAUCGUCUUUCGGAUCAUCUUCUUUAGAGGCACGGAGUCUAUCAUGUAUACUAGCAUAUAGAUCAACGGUUGCCGAACUACGACAACCUUGACCAGGGUUAUAAUCGAUCCCAUGUGGAGAAAUAUGGCUUGAUGGCCCUGGAUCUUCAAAACUUGGAAUCGAAUCCAAGCCAUGAAAAUAUUGCUGGGCAUCCAUGGACCCUGAUGUGAGUCUUGGUUCUAAUGAAUAUAUAGAUCGAUCAUCAUGCAUAUAGUGACAUGCCGAUGAAGUCUCUGGAACGACUGAACUAGAACCAAAGUUAAACUUUGUUGGAUCCAUGAAUGCAUGUACAAGCGACAUCAUUGGACCAACAUUACCUAUUGGUCCAAUGAAUACGCUAUUAACUACAGGCAUUUGGACGAUUUCUUCCUUCUCGAUAUAAAUCUCCGCCAUGUAUGAAACUCUUUCGAUCCAAAGAUCGUACAUUACAUCAAGAGUUUCAUCAUCCACCACUGCGAAAACAGUAUAUUUGGAACUCUCCAACGGUUGACGAAGAAACAAUUUCAGCUUGAACACCCCUUUAUCGACCCCAAUAUAGUGGUAAAUCUUGUCAACCAACUCCCCGUAUCCAAUUCUAUGCCUCAAAGUGAAUGUCCGGUUGGAAGUACGAGGCAAAUAACAAACGAAGUCACCCUCGUAAUGUAUUUGUCCUCCCCAGUAUAGGUUUACCCGCAGAGGUCUUUCUACAGACUUGUCUGUGAAAUGUAUACCUAUUUUUUGGACAAUAAAUAAAAAUUAGUAGUCCAAGGGUCCAAACAAAUGAAAGAGGGUAGACUUUAGGUCGAAAUUGGAACUAUUAAAUAGACUAAUUUCGAUCCAGAUGUUUAUGAAAAAAUUGAAAACAUGUAUGAAAUAUACUAUAAAUGACGAUACGAAUAGUCUAAAACUCCGAACGAAGUUUUUGGAAAAAUUGGACAGAGCCUCCCUUAAAAAUAGACUAAAACUCUCUAUCUGCAAAUCCAAACAGGGUAAGAAAUGUACAAGCGUAAGAAUUGUACCGGAAGUUAUAUAUAUUUGGGCUCCACAUUCACACCGCAUAACAAGAUCCACAUUGACAAUGAUGUGAUAUUAUACCAAUGAAUCUUACAAAAUUAAUGUUUUUCCCUGUAACUUAUUUUGCCACUUUUUUAGCAUUAUAGAUUUUGCCAAUACCAAAAAACAUUACAAGGUUGGUCAGUGAAUUUCAAUCCAUCAAUUCGCCUUAAAAUAAAUUGGUAUUUCAUGUUCUACCGCCCUUUUCUACUUAAACAAAAUUAAACAAACCAUCGUCUCAACGAAGUGACCGAAAAUAUCCAUAGUUGUAAUAUAACAUAAAUUAGCUAAUGGCUUGUAUCAAAUCCGAAUUAAGCCUUAUGCAUAAGGAAUGGUAGUUGUAAUAUAAAAUAAAUUACCUAAUAGUCAGUUGCCCUCACAAAGAAAUAUCUACAAAAAUAUCGACAUAGUCUCCCCAAUAAAGGGGCUCACAAUCCAAAUAUCCAUGAAAUGCAAAUGCUCCAAUCUAUAAACUACACCCCAAAUUUCUAAGCUCCAAUUGCAAAACAUACACUGUCCAAUGUAGAUAGUGUUUCGACCAAAACUAAUAGCUGCGCAAUAGAUUUUAAAAAAAAAUUAUGAUGAAUUUUAAAAGAAUUCUACAAAUGGGGCAUUUUUAGCAUGGGACUACGUACAAAUGGGACUACGUACAAAGGGUCUUCGCAUUCACCAAAACUUAACUCACGGAGCUCGAAUUUUCGAACUACGGCAUCCCAAAAAAAAAAAAAAAUAGCACACCUCGCAUUGUAUUAUGAAAUGCCAAGAUCCGAGCUCGGAUAAUUUAUGGCAUCCUUCGGAUCCAACAGGGUUCGGAUCCGGCUCAACGGAUGAUCAGACGAGCCCUCCGAUCCGGCUGAACAACUUUGGAUCCGAGCUCGGAUCCAACAGAUCCGAGCUCGGAUCCGUCUGGGUUGAGUCUUAUCCGACCUCGGAUCAUGCUUUUCCUGCACUAAUUGCAGAAACGGCAAAUAAACUACUCCUACAUUGGACAGUCCAAACAUUGUACGAAUUCGAAAAACAUCUAACGUUUAUCCUCAAAUCCACCACAAAAAAUGCAAAAAUAAGCACAACCCACGUCAAAUUUAAACCCAAAUUUCACCACAAAUCUGAACUUGUCUUGGAUUCAGGUAUUCAAGUAUUAAUUAAACUUAAAAUGCUAUUACUGAGGCAUUGCAAGUGAAAAAGCCUAACCUUUAUGCUGUUGGAGAGUUGGGACUCAAAUUGUGGACAAUUUUUGGCAAGCGGCACGCGCGGAACCAGUCUUUGGAAGCUCCGCUCAGCUCCGGUCUUUGGAUGCUUCGAUGUGCAGAAACCACCUCUGUUUUCUUUGUUGUGCUUUUACGUACAAUUCCGAAUUCUGUGUUUUUCUGUUCGACAGCUAUAAAAGGCACUUCUGCGCUUCGUCUGUUUGCUUUUGUCUUUUUUUUUCGAAAUGGAGUGUUGGCGGUGGAGCUUAGUACGAGCUCGCAUCCUCAGAAUGCGAGCUCAGUGAGCUCGCACUGAGCUCGCAUUCUCAGAAUGCGAAAACCCCAAUUCCAGAAAAUCAUUCACAAUACGCCCUCGUUGUAGAAUCAUUUUUUUUUCUAUCACAAUGUAAGAAUUCACCCUAGAAAAAUGAUGGUCCUCGAUUCCUUGUAAUCUAAUAUGAGUGGCAGAUCAACUUAUUUUCCUUAUCUUAAAAAAGAGACGUUAAGGAACAUGUAUACAUUUUCAAGAGGUAAUGUAACUUGGGUUCUUUUCUUUUUUUUUUUUCACUUUUUUCUAUAGAAGCAAAAAAGGGGUUAAUUACACUUUGCCCUCCUAAACUUUGGUAGUCAUUACACUUUAUCCUUCUCAACUUUAAAAAUAUACAGUUUACCCCCGUAAAGACUAGUCAAAGCUAGAAAUGCCAAAAAAAAAGUACAAUAACAUUAUUAUCCUUUUAUUUAUAACGUUAUCUGUAACUUAUUAUUAUUUUCUUUUAUUGCUAGAAAAUGAAAGAGUUAUAUUCAGUUUAUUAUCCUUAAAAUUUUUUCUAUGGGAUUAAUAUUUACUUUCACAUAUGUUCGGUUCAAUUUAUAAAUAACACAAUAACUAACAGUAAAUAUAAUUAGCAAUUUUUUGAAAAAUGGUAAUAUUAAACUUGUUAUUUUUUAUUAUUGUAGUUUACAUAGACUUUUAGAAUGAUAUUAUUGUCAUUUUUUUGUCAAAUUAGUCAAAUGUCAAAGACUUAACAACCAAAAUUGUUGAGAAGCACUGGUAUGCCUUAUUUUUUAAAUUUAGAGGAGAAAAAUAGAAAUUAAAUAAAACUUCAAUUCUUUUUGGACAGAAAAGGCAAUAAUAGUAAAUUAUAAAUAAUUUCAACAACGAAAGAGCUAUGUUGUCAUGACACUUAGGACCAAUACUAAAGGUCUCUGAUUUUCUUUUGCUUAAGACGUAGGAACUAAUUUAUUAGGGCCUGAGUGUAGAGAAAUAGGUUGGGCGCCGAAAGGGUUGAACUCGAAAAUUUAAUUUACAAUGCAGGGCGAAAACUGGAUUUCUUCUUCCCUGUUUGUUCGUGAUUUCUUGUUAUCUUUAGUAAAAUUUAUCCCCAUUAUAUAUGGCGUUACGUUGUAAUUUUAUAACUUGUCACUUGCAAACCUCUGACGCAAGUCAAGCCUUUUGCCUUGUCAUAUUUUUUUCAAGUGGGCAAAAAGUUUAAAAGCAUCGAUCGGUAAGGAAAAAAAAAAAAAAGAGAAGAGAGAAUACGAAGCAAGAAAUUCAAUAAACAAAAGUUUAUUAGGGUUUUAUUAUUAAUAUACUGAUUCUGGAGAAUUAGACAUGGAAGCCAUGAGAAGGGUCACCUCAAAGGGGUGAACCAAAUUUUUAUGAUGCCAAUUUAUUUAAAUAUAAAAGACCAACAUAGGCCUAAUUAGGAGCCGAAAGGUCUUUGGCUGGCGCAGUCCAAAUUGUCGCCAUAGCUCACUCCCAGUAUGUCGCAGUAUCUCUUAUAGAAACCAAUUCUGUCGUUCAUCUGUGGGUUGGAGCCUUUUCCGCAUUCAAUUCCACCAUUGAUGAUGUUGGUAACGACACCGUAUCCUGGGCGGCGACCAGCCGCAUUAUCAGCUUGGGACGGUCUCCAUCUGCCGGUCAUCACGUCGUGGCAAGAAGGCUUUGGGGACUGGGGCGUCAUCCAAAACCAAAAUGCAGUCUUGAAAGAAACGGUUGGGUCAGUUGCGACUAAAUCUGGGUUGCGUAGGAGAUCGGAUCCUAUGGCUUUCCCUGCUGGACCAUAGUUGUAGUUGCUACAAUGUUGGAUCAAGUAUCGAUCAGUAAAAGAAAUUCAUUUAAGAAGAAGCUAAUUUAACGUUUCUUCUCAAGAAUCUUGGAUAUAUAGACUGGGAUUUUGUUUGCUUACUAGGAGAUUUGAAUUGGUCCUCUGCCGUAGUAUUUUUUCCCAGGAGCACAGGGCCACUGUUGGUUGGCGACGCAAUAAGCUGGAGGAUUACCUUUUUCUUGCUUGAAGCAAUAUCCCCAUGCAUAAGGACCAUCUGGGGCAGUUGCCCAUCCGCCUAUGUCAAAUCAACAAAAUGAUGAUGAUGCCCGUUAGUAUCAAUCACACUAUCUUUCUCCUUAUUCCCAUUUUCUUUCUUUCCUUUUUUUCAAUUACUCCUAUCAUCAUUUUUCCCUCCAAACUCAUAGUUGUUUGACAACUUGACUUCGUCCUUAAGAGUCUUGACCAUUUCAGUAGGUACGUAAAUUAAAAAAACAAUAAUGGGAUUAUCGAUCGUUAUGGGAUUAAGACAAGGUAGCUAGUUAUGAUUUUGUACCUGUUGUUUCAUGAGAAGUUUGAGCCAAGAAGGCCGCUAUUUCUCUUUUACGAGCAGUGAUAUCACCAGUUGUUCCAAAAGCCCCAUUGGACCUGGCAGCAGCUAUGAAAGCUUCGUAGGUGUAGAAACCGCGAGCAGGACAGUUUGCAUCAUUUCGAUGCUUCAGCAUUUGCUCGAAAAGGGGUUUUGUUAUGAUAGAACCGACAUCUUGUGCAAAGACCCCUACGAGGGACAGAAAAGAGCACAAAACCACUACCCAGAACCUCAUUUUUUUUUUCCCCUCUCUUUCAAACACUGAUCAAGUUUCUGUGCAUUGUCGAAGGAAGAGUGCAGGCUAUAUAUAGUGUGUAGAGUGAUAAGGUUGGAGACUUUUCCACUCGUUUCUUUUGAGGAAAAUCAACGUUUUUUUUUUUUGGGAUAAAGCGGCGAAACAAGAAAAUCAACGUUUGACUACUGCUAGGCACUCCUAAAUAUUCAAACAGUGACCGCUUAAGGAGUCAUACUUCAUUUUCAUGGUAAAACGUACCUUAAUAUAUAUAUAUAUAUAUAUAGCUAAAUCUUAAAGCAGCGGAGGAGGUAGAAAAAAUUUUCAAUGGGGCCAAAAAUAACACUAGUAUUUCUUACGAGUUAUUUUGUUUAUUUAAAAAAAAAAAGGGAAAUGCCAAUAUUCAUGCAAUUAGUAACAUUAAUAAAUAGUAACAUUAAUGCAUUUAUUUUGUGAACAACGUAAAAAAACACUCAGCUGAAUUUACUCACGUAAUUACCAUUUUGCUUGAAAAAGAAUAAAAAGUCAUUUAAAAUUAUUCACAACGGAUUUUCAUGUUCUGAUAACCAUUUAUAAUCUUUCAUUUUCCAAGAUUCUAAAAUGAAUGAGUGAUAGAUUAUGCCACCAAAUUCCUAGGGAAUUAAAUGACUAAUAAAUAUAACAAACGAGUCAUAAAUUAUACUACCAACUUCCAAGGGAACUAAAUGGCUAGACUCUUAGUGUUAGAAAGUUUUAGGUUAUUUAUUGCCCAUUUUCAUUAAAUUACAAAACUGGUAGUGUUAUGUAUAUUUUACUUCUUAAUAUUUUAGUGGGGGCAUGAAAUUUUUUCAAAUUACAUGGGUAAUAUAUAGGGGAAAUUUGGCAUUACUAAUUGGAAAAAUAUUGAUGGAGGCUUGUGCUCCCAGUGCCCUCUCCCCCCUUGCAUCCGCCACCAUCCGAAAGGACAAAUAGAGUUAAAAGCACUUGUACCAUUUUUUAUCAUUUAUAUCGUUGGGAUGUUAAAUACUCACGUACGGAAGUGUCAAAAAAUUCAAAGGUGAAAGUACCUAAAAUAUAGGGAUAAAGAAAUAAGAUAACAAUGAAUUUGAAAAUUUUAGUGGUUAAAAGUAUAGUUUAUAACCUUCAAAAAUCACAGCUUCCCGCAACAUUUCUAUUUUCCCUUGACAUAUAUGACUUGUGAGUAACCAUCGUCACCUUGAACAAGACACAUACGAUCGAUUGAUCUAAACAAACAUGAGUUUUACAGGAAGGAAAAAAUUGAACGUCUGACAUCAUCAUGCAUUGGAUACUUAUCAUUAUUUUUUCAACAUUUACCAUUCCAAUUAACUGCUGGGGACUGAACUGAAGUACCAGUUUUGUAUUCAAGUAAAAAUGGAGACUUGCCUAAUAUUUUGACUAUAUGGAAUGAGGUUGAGUGCAGGAGGUCGUAUCCAUGGUUGGGCAAGACCGAGCCACUGGGAGAUGAUUGCGGGAGGAGAUUAGAUCAUUGGGCUGCUAAAUAUAGAAGGAACAUAACGGUAUGAGCAGCACUUUAUCUUCAUCACUUUUGACUAUUGAGCGCUGAAUUUGUUUUGCAAGUUACACGUAUAAUAUAUAGUAGUUUGUCAAGUAAACCGACGUCUAGAUGCGGCAUCCCAAUUGUCAAAUCAAAUCAUCAUAUCUGAUUUCAAAGCUUCGCGAGGCUGCUGUUAGCCACGCAUCAAAUUGGAAAAAAUGUCUUACCAUUUGAAUGGGUGGAAGGGGGGGGGGUGGGCGGGGCGUGAAAUACUGGAAUGUAGAGAAGCAAGCCGCCACAAGGGAGUGGCUCAACUGAGUCGGAGGAAGCUGACAGAGAUUAAUUAUCAUCAGAUCAGACGGAUGCACCACGUAUCGAAAUGAAUUUAGAAUAAAUUUUAUAUAGAGACAUGUUGAUGAAAAGUAAGGUUUGAACCAUUGACCUUUUAUCUCAUAAUUAAUGUGGUGGUCAGUACCUUUAGAAGGAGUCAUUUUCUCCAUUUUGCAACGCAUGUGCCUAGUUAUCUUAUCUGCCAUCAAACUGUCAUUAAUUUGCUGAUUAAGAUUUGAUAGGAUACUUGGAAGUUUAGACUGGUAAAGAUCAUCAUGGGUUGUUUGUUGACGGUCAUCUGAUGGGUUCGGCAACUGUAUAAUCAGAGCAGCAGAAAGAUCGCCAUCAUCAUCACAUAUUAGUGUCAUCUGAUGGGUUAAGUAAGAAACGUACGUCUAAAUUACUUUGUGUUGAUGUGUUGGUUUUGGUUAAAAGAAGUAUGGAGGCCUGAACCUAGACUAGACAUUGUGGUAGAACUCUUCUGCAUCGAGUUGCAGUUGCAAUAAGCCAUAAAGGGCUUAGAUACAUACAAAAGCUACUUAUAUUAUACGGCAGGUUCAAACUGAUCUUUAGUUGCUAGAGCUUUCAACUUUUCAUUCAUCAGAGAGUGUAUUUAGCGUGGAAAGUGAGAUGAACCUGCAAACUCUUUCCCGGGGCGGCUUCCAAGUCCUUCGACUCCCUAAAUACGCUGUUAAUGGACCAUCAAGGAAUACGGUGCGCUAGCUAGUGCCGGACUGGCAAUGGAAUUUUGUAUUUGGACCAAUUCAAACGGCUGAUUCCGACAAGUUGAUGGACUCACUCACUUGAUGUAAAAACUUGCAAAAAAAAAAAAAAAAGGUUUCAAUAUUUGUGAAAUCUAAUUACUCAACAACAGAUAGCGCAACUACAUAGAUGACAUGGAUAAUUCAUCUCUUAUUUGUAGCUGCUAUCCAUACAACUCAGCUUCGAAAUUAUAAAAUGAGUUGAUAGGAACCGUUAUUCUAUUAUAGGAACCGGUUUUUUAUUUUUUUUGGGGCAAAACCCCUUAUACGGGCGGAGAUGUCAAUUAUAGAAUUUUAUUAUUACCAAUAGCAAACCCAAAAAAGGGUACGAAAUGACUUAACCUGCACUCCUAAUCACAACAUAUUAAAGUGAAUCUUCCACAAAUUAUUAAAGUGAAGUUGAUCAGCUCCGCCAUGAUGAAUUAGACGAAUGCCGAGAUGAAUUCCAACCUGCUUUCAACCAAAAUCCCAUCCAGCCUGUAAGAAGGACACAAAAGAUGUUGGUUUAUACCGGGUUAAAUUGUAGCUUGGUCCAAAUACUACGACUAUAACAAGCUUGAAAGCAGGAGGUUGUGCUAAGCAGGACGUUCAUUUACUCGAUUCUUGCUUGGUGAAGAGGGCAGCAGGAUUUACGGGGUAGGCAACUAUUGAAAAAUAUGUACAGUGGGUUAUUGAAAAAAAUAUUUAAAGCAAUGAUACAGCUAUUCUGCUCCCAUAGGCACAUAGGUUUGAAUAUAUAUCUGCCAUUUAUUCAAAUGCAUACGAUUGAAAGACAAUUAAAAAAAAAAAAAAAAGAAGAAGAUAAUAGGUUAAUUAGCCUCAUCAUCAUGGUAAAAACUUGAAUUCUGUCCGCAUAUUACAAGUAAGCAUGUAUAAUUAAAAAUUUUUGUUGGUAUUUCGUACGUUUCAUAAAUAUUCUGAACAAAUGUUCGUAGCUUUGAAAAAUCGUAUAAAACAAGUCAUAAACUUUUGAGGUUUUAUACUUCGUGUAUGGUACUUUAAUUAUUGCAGAAUUUUAAAGCUUGAGUAAGAAUAAUAUUAAAUCUUCCAAGUUAUAUUUUAAUAGUAAUGGUGCAUAUCAUAGCUUUCCAUUAAGUUGCACAUAUAAAACUAAUAAUAUGAUAAAAUUUUAAACAAUCUAAUGUCUAGUAUAAAAAAAAACUAAUAAGAGUAAGAAAUUAGUAUUAAUGGACAAAGUUGUAGAAAAUUAAUUCAUAUUUUUUGUUUCACACCUUCAAAUAUAUUCGUACUAUUUACAUACAAGUAUACAUACACAUAAGUUUACCGAACUCGUAUUUAGUAACUAAAUGCAUAGAAAUACUAUUUAAUUUACCUUGACUAUGUCCAACAUACUGUAGGUUAUUGUACAUUUUUUAUUCGAAAAAGAUGACACUCUCAGCAUUUGAAUUGGUCAAUUGGACCAAGGGUUUUAGUGCUACACUUUGAUGUUGGCUUAGUGCUAGUUUACUUGGUCAUUAGUGGUGGAAUU